UUAGAUAGAAUUGCUUUUGCGUUCUCCGGUGGGGCCGGAGAAAAUAUAUCAUAACCGACUCAUCGCGAUAUGUGGAACGCAAUAUUACGUAUGAAAAUAAACAUAGUAUUUUUUCAUCGUACUUUCUCGCCACAUGUAACUCAUAUGUAUAAAUUGGUCAUUCAUAACUCAUUGUUUAUCUCUCUAUUAAUAAUCAUAUACUAUUAGACUCGAUAAGACUUAUCGUCUCUAGACGGAUCUUUCAUCUGAAACUAUUAUAUAUAAUUCUCAUUAUACGAAUUUUACUAAUUUUUUAGGUAUAACCACAAGAAUGAUAUGAGAGGAGACAACAACAAUAUUAGAUAGUAGCAUAUUGUUAUCGUCUCUAUUUUUGUAUUAUAUGAAUCUUGUCCUUGUAUACUGAAUUAUCAUUUUGAACAUAUAAUAGACCAUAUUAGAACUAAAAAUUAUAUUAACUUGCUACGUAUUAAGUUGAGAGUUCAAACUUGUUUAAAUUAUUAACUUAUGUUAACAUACAAUAGUUUGCGGUUGUUAAAUUGUAUGUUAAAUUUGAAAGCUUCGAAUAUGUGAGUUGUCUUGGUAAAAGUAUAAGUUGCACAGGAUUGCUUAAUAUUCAAUGAUGGUCAUACUUCAGAUUCCAAUCUUAAGAUGUGGCAGGUCUGCAGCAAGUGUACCCCCCCUGGUGUUUCUGCUGCUGGGGCAUUGCAUAAUAGAUGAGAUUGUUUGGAAUGGAGUUGUUUUAGAUUUCAAGAAUCCGGGCAAUUUUCGAAAAACAUACCCAAAAAAACUCCCUCUUUUCACCAAAGUAGAAUAAAAGAAAAAAAAAAGAAAAGAAAAGAAAAGAAAAGAAUGCAACAGUAAAGAAACACCACAUUGUGCUAUAUCUAGGCCACUAAGAAAAUGCAGAAAAAUCUACAUAAAGCUAGCUAUAUGGCUCUAGAUAAUAUGAUUUCCCUUCAAAGCAAUUCAAAGAGAUCAUAAGAGUUUGACUCACCUUGCUCAAAUGGAAUGUCUUUCACUGCAGAGCCUGAUGCCACUUGCAUUAUUAAAUAGACAAAUAAGUACCUGAGUAUGAGUCAAAAGAAACUUUCUAAUAUUUGAUUUCAUCUAAUAUUGCAUUAAAAUUAUUCUGCUCGAUUCUCGCACAUGAUAUUCUAACGAAAUACAGCUAAAAUUUCCACUCUCUGAAGCUGUAAGAAAGAUUGAAUGAAGUCUAAAAUUUAUAGAAAAGAGUUAUAAGACAGGCACUUCUAUCCAUCCAAAGAAAACUCAUGAAGCAGCAAUGCAAUCCGAAAGAAAGAACUCACUCGAAACCCCAAAAACUGUUAAGUUGGUUGUUCUGAAGAAGUCGAUAUUUGACGAUCACAAACUCCCUACGAAAAUAAGUUUGAUAUUUUGUUCAAACAGAGAAAAUAAAAACAAAAAUUGAGGCAUGGACAGGCAAGAAUGAAUAUGAACUUAUCAUCGACAGUGCAAUAUACGCAAACAAGGUAGUAGUCAUGGACAUUUAUUUAAUUAUAGUUCACACUGUACAUGACCAGAAGGCCACUUUGUCCAGAAAUACAUAGAUCUGGUAGCAAACCACAAACAUACUAUAGCAUAAGGUCUUUAUGUAUAUAUAUAUUGCUUAAACACACUGCAUCCCCUUAACUUGAAGUUACCAAGUCCAUCACCAUGGUUCUAAUGACACGGAACAGGAGACCAAUCGCACAAAUUAUUGAUUGUUGGCCGGCGGUGCGAAUUGUCAACAGAUAUGCUAGAAGGACGAAAGUCGGUUGCAUUUCCAUUGUUAUUUGCUGCAUCGCCGUUCGUACUAUUGCUCCCAUUGCUUGUGGCUUCUUGUACAUGGCUAGUCGCUGAAUCCACCGGGUUCUUUUCCGUAUUCCUCACAAGACUCUUGAUAUCUAACUUGUUUUCUGCAUCAUCCUUGCUAUUAACACGGAAGUGAAGAUACUUACGUGGCAGUGCAUGUUCAUUGGUCUUUACUCCUCGAAGAGUAAAGACCAAUGCAUCCUCCUGAGCUCCUAUGCCAUCUGCAGGAGCUUUCUGGAAGAUCAUCAUCAAAGCAAAUAUGGUGAGAAGUGUCGGUGAGGUCUUCAUGGAUAUGCUGCAGAUACAUAGUUAAAACAAACAUUUAUCAGUUAUCCGAUUUGAGAAUUUUGAGUCUAUACUGCAUGUAACAUAUGAUGAUUAAAUUUUAGACUAAAUUAGUAGAACAAAAACCCACCUUCGGACUUUUCCUCAAACAAGUAUGAGUUAAUGAAUAUCAGUGAGCGCUACCUAUAUAUAGCUUCAAUGUCAAGCCCAUCUGACCAAGGUAAAUCGAGAAAAACAUCAUGCUCCUGGUGGUUGAUUGUGCUCGCGCAUGUUUGAUAAGAACCCUAGUGUGCACAAGAUGAUAAUUAUUAACACGCGCGCACCUACAACAUAGUGGAGAAUAAUAAUCUUGUCCCCAAAUAAUGAAAGUUGAUUUUCAUCAGUAAAUUAUUAAAUAAUUUUAUUCAGUUAAUAGUUUGUGAAAAUUGUCAUAUUGCGAAAGUAUUUUUUUUUCAGCAUAUUGUAAGACCUGAUACAAAACUAGUCAUGAAGAAGUAGAACAUGUCAUACAAUACAACAACAAUACAAAUGUAUACAUAACAAGUCAAUCCUAUGUUUGUUUGGACUCUACGAGUGGUCUCUUUAUAUACGAGAUUUACAAUAACAAUACGAAUGUAUACAUAACAUGUCAAUGCCAGAUUUAUUUGGACUCUACAAGUGGUCUCCUUAUUUACUAGUUUUUAUUAAACCAAGCAUGACACAAUAAAUAAUGAAUUUCCCAAAGAUCUUUCGCAUCCAAAAAGUGCACAGGAUUAUUAGCUUUUCAUGUUACUUGAAUGUCAGAACUUCCCAGCAAAGCCAACAGAAAGAAGCCCAAGACAUGCUAAAUUUAUACUUUUGAUCAAACCAAACAGGUUGUUAAAGUAUCUUCAGGUGCAUAAGUCAGGUAUCUAAAUUUAUGAACAACAGGUGUCUAUGCCACGGAAUGAAAAUUCAUAGAAAAUGUGAAAGAAGUUCCUAAAAUUAAAUCUAAAUUCGCUUAACAUGAAGCAAUGGCUGAAGCUGGAAAAGGCCAACCAGAACAAUUAUCUGUAGUGUUUUUAUCUAGAGUAAUGUUAAAUUAUAGGUUAGGAUUCAAAAGGAAAUUGAAAUCAAGGUUCCCCAAUUGAAACAUGAUUGCCGGUCCUUAAUGAUUCUAUGGAGUUAUACAAGACAGAAUUACUAAGGCAGACCAAUCCAAUAAUGGAUGCUACUGAUUGCUCGUUUUAAGGUUACGCAGUCCCAUUAUGAAAUGUCAAAGAAUCUGAUUAAUGAACAAUGACUAGCUAUGUUACACAAAUACGGAUAUGGGAAGCAGAUACGACACAAUAUGGUUAGUGCAUCCAUCAUGUAUCCAUCAAGAAUCCGAUAAUUUUCCGAAUGUUCAAAAAUGUCGGAUACUUCUAUAAAGUAUCCAACAUGUAUCGGACAUGUAUCGCGCGAGCAUUGGUAUCUGAUAUAUAUCUGAUACGAUUCGACAAGCAAAAUGAGGUAUCUGUGCAUCAUAGAUCAUAGCCUAUCAACUCCAAGAUUACAAUUCACCAAUAACGCAUUUGCUCAUGCUGACCGAGGACUAGAAGAACAGAGAUCAUUUCUCGGAAAAUCUAAACCAAACGAACCAUUCAUCUCUUAAAACGAAAUUUAAACCAUCUGAUGCCGUCUUAAAAAUCGCAGUUUUAGUGACUUUUUUCUUAUUCUGCAGUGAGAAAUGGUCGACUAUUUUAUGCCUAGGCAACAGGUUUUCAAAACUUAUGUUAAUUAUCACAAUGCAAACUACUCAAAGAUUGUAGAUGGCUUGAAUUGAGAUUGUAAGGCCUCCUAGGGUUGAAAGGGGAAGGGGCCAUGGGAGGAUAAGGAUAAGUAUAAGGUUAGGGUUAGGGUUUAAAUUGGAGAGGGGAGACGGAGAGGGAGAGAGAGAGUACCUUUUGCUACCAUUGGAGGAGGGCUUGUGGAGUGGAGUUAAGGAAGGAGAGGAAGCGGGGGCUCGAGCUCGAGCUCGAGGUCAAGGGAGCCAUGGCGAUGGCGUGGGAGAGGAGAGGAGGACGAAGUGGCGAUCACAUUUUGAAAACCCUAAAAUGCCGCGCGAGGGCGGUAGGGCGAGGGCGGUAUAUUUCGAGCGAUUUCGCUCCCGCGACGUUACCCGCCGCCGAUUUUAGAAUUCGUCGGUACUUUGUUUUCUUUUCCCCUUUUUUUUAAGCUGAAUUGAAGUCGGCAAAGUUUCUUGAUGUCGGCGCCGACUACAAGUCUUCUCUGUUACAUUUAGGCUUUGUAUAUAAAAAAAAAAAAACUAAUUUAUUUCGCUAACCGCAGAAAAUCACAUUGCAUGUCUUGUAAUGAAUCGGUAACAAUAUAUUUUCUGAUGCUUACAUAAAGACGAAGAUAGAUGUUAUUACAUAUUUUCUCCUUAACUCUACUUUAUCUAAUAACAUUAAAUGAAUCUCAAUACAAAUAGACCCUUAAACUAUAUUAUAAGAAUAAUGACAAUCAAUCAAAAACUCCACAUGCAUGUGAUAAAAAAAUUAUAUUUUUGUAUAUAAAAUUACUAUCUUGCACUUCCUAUGCAGUGUGUGUCUAUAUAUAUAUAUAUAGAAAGAACUAGGCUAAAAUAUUAUUAAUAGCACCAAGUUAUUGUUUGCUUAUUAAGUUUUCAGCUUUUGGAUGAAACGAUGUACGGUUAGAAUGAUAGUGAUUUUCUAGGAUUAAGUAGGUGGUUGGUUGAAUAGUAUAAUCUAACGGAUGAAAAUAAUCAAAGAGGUGGAUCGAACGAUAAAAAAUUUAGUAGCACAAAGUGCUUGAUGCUAUCGAUAACAUUAUAGCUGGACUCUAUAUAUACAUACAUAUAUUAUAAUAGACCUUUUCCUAUCUCUGUCAUGUGUCAACCAUCAAAUUGCUGAUUAUAUUUAAUUGCAAAUCUAAAUUACUAAAAAUCUCCUGUUUAAAAAUCAUUAGCAGUGUAGUUUCAACUGAUUUUCAGUUAUUUGAAAUUAUUUCAAUGAAUAUAAGAAAAUUAAAUCUGAUGAUUAAUUUUUUGUCAUAUAUAUUUGCCAUAAUUUGGACUUCUUAAAUGUAAGAAUAAUUAUCAAUCCAAAAAUAUCUUUUAUAAUUUCUUUAUUAGUUCUGAAAUUAAGGAUAUACAAAAGAGAAAAAGUGUAUAAUAAAAAGGUACAAAAUAGAGAAAUAUUUUGAUCCUGGUAACGCCAACCUCUCUAAUAAGCUUAUAUCAAUUAUGAAUAGAUCUACAAAUAAGAAUCUCAUCAUAUGAAAUAAUAUAAUCUUAGAUAUUUUGAGACAUAUGGGUGUAAUCUUUCAAAUUGCUAACACUAGUUGGCUAGUUCUUGAACUUUACAUAUUUAUAAUUUCCAAGCAUUUGUGAGGAAUUAUAUAUAUCAUGCAUGGUAGCGCCAUGUGGAGCCAUCGGAUUACAUCAUAGAUGUUUAUUAUUGUAAUUAAGUAUUUCUUGUAAUAAUAAAACCGAUGAAUCAAUGACAUAUAUUUGUGACAUAAUAAAUUUAAUGUUAAAUAUUAAGUUAGAAAAUAUGGUAGCAACAUGAAUCAUAUCUGUAUCAGAUAACACAACAAUAUAGUUAGGAGAGACUAUGAAAUAAAUUAAUUAAGUUCGCUUAUUCACACUGAAACUACUCUUAGUACUCAUCAACAUUUUGAGAUUCAUUAAUUGAUCUUGCCUUUUUCUUGCUAGGUAUAGUCAUCUUUUUCUCAUUUCCACAAAGAAAAACUAGCUAGCCUUGUGUUGUCUACGUUUUUUCUCGAAAAAAUCAUGAAUAUAUACUAUUCUUCUAGCUUGUGAGGAUAUGUACAAAGAAGCUCAACCUACAUGUGGGAUUUGCUAUGUUGGCUAAAUCCCAUGAUACCAAAUUUAUGUGGACAAGACUCCACUGUGUUACUAAAUGAUAGAGUGCACUUCUCCACUCACUGUAGGGGAGUGCACAUGCACUUAUCCAUUCACUGUAGGAUUUAACGCACUUCCCUACAAGAGACAAAGCAUUAUGUAAUCAUAGGAGUACUUGAAGCCUUAGUAACUAUCAUACGGAAGCUCAAAGUUCAUGGAGAACUCAAGGUUUCUCUUUUCAUUUAGGCUGUUUAAUGGGUGUGUUCAAUGGAUGAUAGGACCUACAAGAGGAUACACUUGUAUUCUAUUCUCAAAGCAAUAGAAGUAUUUAGUUUUUUUUCACAGAAUCUCUAUCUCGAGUUUCUCUCUUUUGCACUUAGUUAUAGGGCAUGUUGGACUGGGCUAGUAAUUAAACUGAGAGCAAGGUUUGCCUAUUUUUUCGGAGGAAGGCGGGUGCUGCACGAACACGAACUUUGCGAGCGAAAUCACUUAUAUGAUAGAGCUAGCAAUUCCAUUUCUAGAGCAAGCAAUUCCAUUUCUAGAGUUAAAAUAUAGAUAGGAAGCUCUAAAGCUAUUAAGGAGCCGUUUGGUUAGAUGUAAUAAAAAAUACAGUGCAGUUGAAAAUAUAUGCAGUUAGAAAAGUAGUAGUUACAAUGAUAUGCAUGUAUCUUAUUUAGUUGAAUGUAGUAGAAAAUACUGUAUCUAUAAGUAAUUUGUUUAAUUGCAUGCAAUCAAGAAACAUAUUUUCAAAAUGUUAUCAAUUUAUAUAUGAUAAUGAGAUUACCUCUAAUGUAGGGAAAAAAAAAUUUCUAUUUAUAUAAAGUUUAAUUAGGAAAGUAGGCUUACCUUCUAUAUAUAGUUGGAACGGUAGCUAAUUUGAGUAUAAUUUUAACUUCUGCAUUGGAUUUCCUUAUGCAUUUCCUACUACAAUAAUUGGAUUCAAAUAUACUAAACCAAAUAUCGAAUUUGGAUAUGUAUAUAGUUACAAUUGUAGAUGAAACCAAACAGACCCUAAGUGUAAUUAGUUACGAAAGAAUACACGACGCGUGUGGACCAUAGUUCUUAAAUACUAUAAUUAAGCCAAUUGAAAGCCAAUCAAAGGACGCCAUAUUAUUUGAAAUACUAGCUAGAAGAAGAAGACCUUCUUAAUUUCCCCGUUCAUUGUAGUCUCCUAUUAUACUUCUCCUCCAUGUAAUUCAAUAUUUUUCCAAAGCCAGCAAAAGAUCUACGCCAUUUGGUUUAGGGUUGACGAUGAGUCGAACACAAUCGAUUUUGAGCUAAGUAAACUCAAAUUAAUGAAAAGUUAUUCAACUUGAAUUCAAUUUAACUGGUUUUAGAUAAGUAUCAGGCUAACACAUCAAUAACCAUAAACUUCACAACCGAUCACAAAAAUUAACAGAAAUUCUCAGUGAGGUAAUUCCAUGGACUGUAAUAUUCCAUGUAACUCGAUCGAUCUGACCGAAGCCUUCUCCCGCGAUUGAGUACAAUGACCUAAAUUUCAAUAGUCGAAAUUAAUCAAUCAUUCUUUACUCAAUCACCUAAAUUUCAAUAGUCGAAAUUAAUCAAUCAUUCUUGAGCGAGAACGUACAAUGCGAAUUGAGUUGACACAACCCUGGCUUGAGAAAUUUUCGAGUCAGAUAUUUCUUGAUCCAAAUCUGAUCUGGUUUAUUUAAUGGCUGACCCAGCCCCUAAAACAUGUAUGAUCUAUUCAUCAACCUGGAACAGUGCAUGGAUGCGUUGCAUGCAUCCUGUAUGAUUAAAUCCCUAACACUGUAUAUUUCUGUUUUGUUUGUAACCAAGUCAAAGGUUAUUGUGCUAUUAUAUACACUGCAACAGAAUUAGGUUAUAACGAUACAUGUUUGGGACACUUUUGUGUAAGUGUCUCAUUUAUGUCAAAAUUUUUUAAAAAAUAUACUAAUGACUAAAUAUAAAGCACAAUCCAAUAAAAAAUAAAAGAUUACUCUACUCAACCCAUCCCACCCAGCCCAUUCGACCCGAUUACAAACAUAAAGCAAAUAAAAAGAAAAAUCGAUUACCAUCUCCCCUUCUCUCCUCACUCAAUCGACUGAAACUAGACGAAGAGCCCUUCCCUCGAUCUCCUCAUCCUCCGCCACCGCAGCCAACGAGGUAGAGUUCCGACGGUUGCUAAAUACUUAAAUAAGUGUUAGUAAAUUAACAGCACUCUUUUAGAUUAUACCGACACUCUUUAACUGUCACUAUAUACCUACCGACCCCACAUAUAACAACACUUUUUAAAAGUGUCGGUAAUUUAACCAGCAGUACUUUUUUUUUGACCUGUACCAAUAUUUAAAAGUGUCGCUAUAGACCGUUUUUGUUGUAGUGUAUAACGGAUUUUUGAUAAUACGUAGACAUUCAAUGAAUCUAGUUACUAUUUAAUUAGUGGUUGAACUGACCAGGUUGAAUGAAUCGAUCGAUCUGCUACGAAAAAUGGUUCUUUUAAUAUCAUGUCUUAUUCUAGUAAGUUCCAGUAUGUGAAAAGGUCUCUUCUAUUGUUGCAGACUCCAAUAUUGUUGACUCAUAUAAAAUAUACAUAAUACAUACAUAUAUAUACAUGAUAAUGAGAAGCUUAUAUACUUAAUAUGAAUAUUUCAAAAGAAACAGUUGACAAGUAUAUAUCUAAAAAUUGUUCUUUGGUGAUAUUGCUCUUUACAUCACCUUGCAAUAUUAAUUACAGCUAACCCUAUAUAUAUCAUUAGGUUUAUAGCCAAUAUAUGUAGAGGUUAAAUCUUCUGUCCCACCCAUCAUUGAUCAACAAGAUAAUAUGUGCACGUAUCCCACUGCAUUUUGUCUCAGUUCAGUGGAGAAUCCAUAAAACCAAUUUGCUUCGCAAUAAUUCCAACUACCACAAUAAUCCUAUAUAGAGAUAGACCUAGCUCUUUCUCAUCUAUAAAUAGCAUUGAAACUUAUCAAGCAACACAAUUAGGGUUUCCCUUUCAGGUAAGCAACAGUCUCUUUCUUGAUCUUUAACCUAAGUAACUAUUUAAUAUGAAACUAAUAGCUCCUAUAUCCCUUGCAGUUAUUAUAACCAGGUCAAGGAGGAUGAAGCUGAUCAUAAGUAUUGCAAUCAUAAGCAUGGUUGUGGUUAGUUCCUGCUCCGCGAUGCCGCGGAAGGUGAUGAAUGAAGCAAAAGAUGAACAUGGCGUGUCGCAAGCAAUAGCAGAAGGACCAGCGACAAGUCUGAGCUCCGCAUGCCCAGCGGCCUCGACCGACAACCAUCACCAGAUACCGAGAGACCAGUACAAUAACUGGAGCAGCCCGGGAAACAUGCCAGGGAGCGGCGGCGAUAGCGGCGAGAGGAUGUCGAGCCGAGGUUUGAACAACUAGCUAGCUAGCUAGCUAGCUAAGGAUAUGGUCUCACACUGUUGUUGCAUGCAUGAGCGAAUCAGUUAUAUACGUACGUAUAUAUGUGGAAUUCAUGCAUAGGGUUAAUUCGACGUGUUAUAUAUAUAUGGCUUGUGUUAUGUAUGUAUGAAGUAGAUGCAUAUAUAUGUAUAUAAAUAAUCACUAGUCGUUGCACUCGUGCAUGUAGUAAAAUAAGUGCGACUUGGUUGGCUUAAUGUAUAGGAGAAUCCUCAGUAUUUUACGCAGUAGUGAGAAUUAAAACGAUGUGAUGUAGCCUUAAUGAUCUCUCUCUCUCUCUCUAUGUUAUAUGUUUGUGCGCAUGCAGUGACACCAUUCUUGAAAUUGGUAAAUAAAGUUAUUACUCACUUCAUAAAUAUUAGUUUUGAAAUAAGUGUCUCUCUUAGUUUUGCUAUAAAUUGUUUUUUCGUUUUCUUGAAAUUAAUUAUGAUAGUUUAGAAUACUACUAUGUGUCUUUUAGUAUUUCUAAAAGUGUCUUUUAGUUUUUCCAUAAAAUUAUGAGUGAGUUAAUAUGUAGAGAAAUUGAAAGGCCUUUUGUAAGUCUAUAUAUAUGUAAUAAUUUUAUAAUGAUAAGUCAAGUCAAGUUGAGUUGAAAUUUCAACUUUUAUUUGAAAAGAAGGAUUUUUUAUUACGUCUAUCUCUUAGGUGGAUUUCUUGUAAGAGAAGAGUGUUGCUCAACCAUUGUAUUGGUAGAUUUUACAUAGUGAUGAGUGUGCUCGAAUUCGACGUGGGAAAUUUUACGGUGAGUCGAAUGUUUAUUAAGCAGUGCUUGUUCUAUUUUCGCAUCCCUCUUAAGUCCCGGCAUCAUGCAUGCACGUAGAGAGGCGCAAGGGGUACGGGCGUAACGUACGUAGGUCUUUUCUUUUAAUUAAUAUGACAAUCACUGGAUGAGGAGGAGGAGGAGGAGAAAAAAAGGGAGAUUUAAUUUCAUCUUGAAAAUUAGACUGAGGAGAUAAUAAUAAUAUAAGUUACUGGCUGAUAAUCUGAAAUUUGCCAAACAGUAUGGUAAUUAUUCGAGAUUUCUAUUUGAGUUUCCAAGAAAUUUAAAAAAAGGGUAAAAUUUAGGCUAGACUAUAGUGUUUUCUCGCCUAUGGUUCAACUUAUUUUUACUUUGUUAUUUUGUGAUUUAGAAAAUUACAUAUGGAUGACAAUUUGACUCACUUUGUCACUCUGCUGCUUGUAAGCAUUGUUAGUAUAAAGAAAAAAGUAUCCUUAAAUUUUAAUUGGUUUUUGUAGUAGUAUUAUAUAGUUUUAUUUUUUUUACAGUAAAGACUCCACUAUUAAACGCCGACCUAAAUAGGCAUAGUUGAAAUUUGAUAUAUCUCUAAAAAACUGGUGAGGGUACUGUGGAGGUGAGGGUGUAUAGGAUGGUAGAUGAUGUUAUAUUAUUGUACAAUUUUUGUGAUUUUCAAAAGUGAUUACGUAAUGAUGCUACCAAUGAUUUCACUCAGGUUUAACAGGUAGGUAUAUACUUAGGUGAACAAAAAUAAAAAGUACAAUAUAUAGAGCUUAAGUGUAAAUUUUUUGAAUCAUAGGAAUAACAAAAUAAAAAAUGUACAUACUAAAUACAAAAAAGGAGUAAGCGCUGCUGCUUGGAUGCAUAGUUAAAAAACUCCAAUGAAAUUUUUCUUGUAUGGUUUGGUCUAAAUGAAAUACGGAAUCUGGUAACUAAAAAAAAUUCCACAGCUUUCAUUUUAAGUGUUUGGGAUACAGAUCGUUACAGGAUUCCACAAUAUUUAUAACCAAUUUAAAUUUUCUUAAAAUUUUUUAAAAUUUCAAAUUCAAAAUUCAAGAAUUCAAAACUUCAAAGGUUCAAAUUUAAAAAUAGAAUUUUAAAAAUUAAAAUUCAAAUUCAAAAUAUUAAAAUUAAAAUUUAAAAUUUAAAUUUAAAAUUAAAAAUUAAAUUAGAUUUUAUGUUUUAGAAUUUGAAUGUUAAAUUAGGAAUUUGAAAUUUAAAAUUUGAGAUUUGAAACCCUUUAAUUUUAAAAUUUAAAGUAUACCAUUUAAACUUUAAAAUUUGAAAUUUAAAAAAUCUAUAAUUAAAAUUUUAAAUUUUAAAUUUAAUAAUUUAUAAAUUUACAUAUUUAUAAAUUUAAAAUUUAAAAUUUAAGUUUAAAUUUAAAUUUUGAAAAUUAAAAAUUAAAAAUUAAAAAUUAAAUUAAAAUUUGAAAUUUGAACUUUUUGAAAUUUGAAAUUUGAAAGUUGAAAUUUGAAAUUUGAAAGUUGAAAUUUGAACUUUUUGAAAGUUGAAAUUUGAAAGUUGAAAUUUGAAAUUUGAAAUUUGAAAUUUGAACUUUUUGAAAUUUGAAAUUUGAAAUUUGAAAUUUGAACGUUGAAAUUUGAAAUUUGAAAUUUGAAAUUUGAAAGUUGAAAUUUGAAAGUUGAAAUUUGAUAUUUGAUAUUUGAUAUUUGAACUUUUUGAAAUUUGAAAUUUGAAAUUUGAAAUUUAAAAUUUAAAAUCAAAAUUAAAAUUGAAUUUUAAAAUUUCAAAAUUUGAAAUUAAAAUUUUAUGUUGAAAUUUAAAAUUUAAAAAUUAAUACAUCUUUGGGAGGCCAAAAUGGUGGAAUUUUUUUCCUUUAGUUAAAGUGGAUUGUAAGUUUACUCCAUUUUUUGGAGUAUAGCAUAAUUAUACUCCAAAAAUUACGUUAUUUUUUUUUCUUCCAAACAUGUCAUAGGAUUAUUUUCCUAACUAUGCUACGUUUUUAGAGGUAUCCAAACGGGGCCUAAAUUGAAAUUUAACCUAAAAGAAUUAAACAGCCUUUACGUCAAAUACCAAUUAAGUGUUUAUAUACAGCUUUCCAACUCCAAAAUAGAAAAAAGGGGAAAGAAAUAAAAACUGAAGUAAGUUAACUCUAAAAGAGAAGGCUAAAUUACAGAAAAUUUUCUUGUCAAUAUUCAUUUUUUCAUUUUUUUUCUGUCAUUUAAAAAUCUACAUUCCUUGAAAAAUCAAAAAUGUUCACUUUGCCUCCUGCCGUCAGUAUUCCGUUGGGUUUCCGUUUUUAUUCUAUUAUUAUAUUUUGUUUAUACCCAAAAUACCCUCAACCUCCUCCCCUCAGCAUUGUCGCCUCCCUCCUCGCCGCCCACGCUACCUCGCCCUACUCCGCCACCUUACCCUCCUCGGCCGCCUUGCCUUCACCUACCCCUCUAUUUGCGCCCACACACACGCUCUCGCACUCCUUCGCGGUCUCGCCUUCGCCCUUACCCACCUCUCCGUCCAUGUCCACCCCGAUCUCCUCCUACCAUCGCUGAAAUGGGGGGCGACGAGGGUGCAGGAGGAGUGGGGGAGCAGGUGGAGGAAAUGGAGUUGGAGCUGCGGUUGAGCGAGGCGUGAAGAACAAAAGAGGAGAGAUGAUGACCUAGCAAGAUUGGGGACAAAGGUGGUGAGGGGCAAUUUCGCCAUUUCACUACCACAGUUAACACCGUACCCCCUGUGAAGAUUUUUUAUUUUUUAAGGGAUCAAAGUGUAAAUUUUUAAAUGAUAUGGGAGAAAAAUAAAAAAGCGGGUAUUGAUGAGGAAGUUUUCUGUAAUUUAGCCAGAAAUCAUAAAUUGGUUAACUAGGAUAUAUAAUCCAUGCGCAAGGUUCGAAAAUAGAAAUCCUAUAGCAUGCAUGGUUUGAGAAGGAUCCGGCCUGCUUAAUUAGCCAAUUGUUCAUAUAUCAUAGUUAAUUAGAUUAGCCAAUUUCAUAUAUAUCAUAGGAAAUAUAUAUAUAUAAUCCGUGCUGUGACUAGAAUAUUGAGCUAUGCUGAGCUGCUGAUUGGGGUAGAAGACUUAUAAAUUUGUGAUGGUUAUACCUCUGACAUAGGUUAUAAUCCAAAUUAAUUGUUGUGUAUGCAGGGCUGUCAACGUGCCCAGCAUAAGCUGUCACGUUAAAAUAUCAAGAUGAAAAAUCUAAAUCGUGUUCGGCUUGUUUACUAACAAGCCGAACAUGAGCUGGCUCGCAAAUAGCUAACGUACAGGUUAGAUUAAUUGUCUACAUUACUGCUGGUGAAAGUUUGAAAGAAAAUUUAAAAAUUAGAAUCUUAAUCUAAUAUAUAUAUAUAUAGAACUAGGCUACUAUACUAUCAGUAGCACGGAGCGCUCCGUGCUACCAAGUUGUUUUCGAUGAUGCGGCUUCCAAAUCAACGAUCGGCUCCGUUAGACUUGAUCUACACUAUUGAAAGCAUUUAGAAACUAAAUUUCAUAAUUUUUCGAAAUUAUUUACCUAUCAAACAAGUAGUCUAAAAUUGAACGGCUGAAAAUAAAAAUCUCAUAAAAAAUGAUGAUAAAAGAUUUAAAUUCAAGAUCAGAUAUACUGAUCUUACUCUAAAUAGUGAAAAGAAUUUUCUAUAAAAUUUUCAUCGCAUUUGGAUUGUUUUACACCGUUAAACUCACAAACACACCACAUCGGCCAUUAAAAUUGCCAAUUUUGAGAUCUUUUGAUCACUAGUCAAAUGAUGUUGAAAAAAUCUGAAAUUUAGUUUCCAAAUACUUUCAAUAGUGUAGAUCAAGUCUAACGGAGCCGAUCGUCGAUUUGGAAGCCGCAUAAUCGAAAACAACUUGGUAGCACGAAGCGCUCCGUGCUACCGAUAGCAUAGCAGCCGAACUCUAUAUAUAUAUAUAUAUAGAUUAAGAUUCUAAUUUUUAAAUUUUCUUUCAAACUUUCACCAGCAGUAAUGUAGACAAUUAAUCUAACCUGUACGUUAGCUAUUUGCGAGCCAGCUCAUGUUCGGCUUGUUAGUAAACAAGCCGAACACGAUUUAGAUUUUUCAUCUUGAUAUUUUAACGUGACAGCUUAUGCUGGGCACGUUGACAGCCCUGCAUACACAACAAUUAAUUUGGAUUAUAACCUAUGUCAGAGGUAUAACCAUCACAAAUUUAUAAGUCUUCUACCCCAAUCAGCAGCUCAGCAUAGCUCAAUAUUCUAGUCACAGCACGGAUUAUAUAUAUAUAUUUCCUAUGAUAUAUAUGAAAUUGGCUAAUCUAAUUAACUAUGAUAUAUGAACAAUUGGCUAAUUAAGCAGGCCGGAUCCUUCUCAAACCAUGCAUGCUAUAGGAUUUCUAUUUUCGAACCUUGCGCAUGGAUUAUAUAUCCUAGUUAACCAAUUUAUGAUUUCUGGCUAAAUUACAGAAAACUUCCUCAUCAAUACCCGCUUUUUUAUUUUUCUCCCAUAUCAUUUAAAAAUUUACACUUUGAUCCCUUAAAAAAUAAAAAAUCUUCACAGGGGGUACGGUGUUAACUGUGGUAGUGAAAUGGCGAAAUUGCCCCUCACCACCUUUGUCCCCAAUCUUGCUAGGUCAUCAUCUCUCCUCUUUUGUUCUUCACGCCUCGCUCAACCGCAGCUCCAACUCCAUUUCCUCCACCUGCUCCCCCACUCCUCCUGCACCCUCGUCGCCCCCCAUUUCAGCGAUGGUAGGAGGAGAUCGGGGUGGACAUGGACGGAGAGGUGGGUAAGGGCGAAGGCGAGACCGCGAAGGAGUGCGAGAGCGUGUGUGUGGGCGCAAAUAGAGGGGUAGGUGAAGGCAAGGCGGCCGAGGAGGGUAAGGUGGCGGAGUAGGGCGAGGUAGCGUGGGCGGCGAGGAGGGAGGCGACAAUGCUGAGGGGAGGAGGUUGAGGGUAUUUUGGGUAUAAACAAAAUAUAAUAAUAGAAUAAAAACGGAAACCCAACGGAAUACUGACGGCAGGAGGCAAAGUGAACAUUUUUGAUUUUUCAAGGAAUGUAGAUUUUUAAAUGACAGAAAAAAAAUGAAAAAAUGAAUAUUGACAAGAAAAUUUUCUGUAAUUUAGCCUUCUCUUUUAGAGUUAACUUACUUCAGUUUUUAUUUCUUUCCCCUUUUUUCUAUUUUGGAGUUGGAAAGCUGUAUAUAAACACUUAAUUGGUAUUUGACGUAAAGGCUGUUUAAUUCUUUUAGGUUAAAUUUCAAUUUAGGCCCCGUUUGGAUACCUCUAAAAACGUAGCAUAGUUAGGAAAAUAAUCCUAUGACAUGUUUGGAAGAAAAAAAAAUAACGUAAUUUUUGGAGUAUAAUUAUGCUAUACUCCAAAAAAUGGAGUAAACUUACAAUCCACUUUAACUAAAGGAAAAAAAUUCCACCAUUUUGGCCUCCCAAAGAUGUAUUAAUUUUUAAAUUUUAAAUUUCAACAUAAAAUUUUAAUUUCAAAUUUUGAAAUUUUAAAAUUCAAUUUUAAUUUUGAUUUUAAAUUUUAAAUUUCAAAUUUCAAAUUUCAAAUUUCAAAAAGUUCAAAUAUCAAAUAUCAAAUAUCAAAUUUCAACUUUCAAAUUUCAACUUUCAAAUUUCAAAUUUCAAAUUUCAAAUUUCAACGUUCAAAUUUCAAAUUUCAAAUUUCAAAUUUCAAAAAGUUCAAAUUUCAAAUUUCAAAUUUCAAAUUUCAACUUUCAAAUUUCAACUUUCAAAAAGUUNUAUAUAUAUAUAUAUAUAUAUAUAGAGUUGAUCUAGGAUACUUUUACAAGUAUCAUCCUCAUGUUGCUAUCACGUUUUUAGCCAUUGGAUCUACUUUUUGAUUACAAAUAGCCCUUGGAUCAAACACUAUUCCACCUACCACCACCUACCACCAUCAUUUCAACCUCACAUCUCUCCAUCCAAGGGCUAAAAACACACAAGUAUCACUUGGGUGAUACUUGUAAAAGUAUUCUAGCCCUACUCUAUAUAUAUAUGUAUAUAUAUGAGCUAUAUCGAGUCAUGUUUGGCUCUUUAAAAUUUUGAGAUGAAAAUUAAACUUGUGUUCGGCUCGUUUAUUAAACAAGUGAUCGAUCUCGAGCUCAUUUCAAAUAAAAUACGAGCUAACUCACGAACAUCGAUCCCUAUUGCUGUAUAGAUAAUAAAUGAUUUAUUUAAGAGUAAUAUAAUAAUUUUAUAUUAAAAUAAUAUUUUAAAAAUUUUAUUUUUAUAUAGUUUUAUUGUAGUAUCCUUUAUUUUAUAUCUAUUAUUAGUGAACUUAGUUGGUGUGGAUUGUGGCUAUGAUGCCACGUGCAACCCUUUUUCCUCUCCAUGCAUACUUAUCUUUUAGCUGGGUGGCACUCUAAUUAACUUUGCAUUUUCUUCUCUUCUCUCUCUCUAGCCGAUUGUGAGCAAGGAGGAGUUCGUGUGGAGCAUUUCGUCGUCGACAUCGCGCCGCGGAGCCGUCCGAGCAUACGUGCGUCGCCGUAGUUUCGCGAGGAGGCCGGGCGAGAGAGUGUUUUCGUCGUUCUCGACGCCGUGCUGGAAUUGGAGUCGCUGGUUGAGGUGGGUAUCUCUCAUUCCUCCAUGGAUUUCUUCUCUACUUCAAGCUUCAUUGAAUCCGAGCUCGAGGUGCUUUUUUCACUGAUUUCCAGCGUCGACCGUCGGCGUUUCGGCUCCCUCUCGACGUAGGAGCAGCGGAUUUCGACAAGACUUGGUUCGUUGGAUUCGGGACUUCGAGAGGAAUCCACGAAGCCCUUACUUGCUGGUUUUGGUGGAGGUUUUCCUGGUCGGAAUUAUUCUCUUCUCUGCUGCUAUUUUUGAGGCAGAAUCGGUGCUCAUUUUCGGAUUUUACGUGUAGAGUUUGGCAGGAGCGUGAUUUCUGGCCUUUGGAGGUUUGCGGAUUGAUCCAGCAGGGUGUUCCUUUGCUUCGGGACAUCCUCGCUGCUGGGGAUUAGCGACUAAGGUGGGUUAAUCAUCGGCUUAUACUCCUAAGUGCGCAAUAGUCAACAUGUGUAAUUUCAGAUUUUAUAUAGUUUACUUUAGCUCGAAUUCAUGGAUUUUCUUAUAGAUAGCAAAUCUGAAUUUCGAGUAUGUGAUAUUAAAUUGAGUAGUUUAUACAUGUUGGACUUGAAAUGUGAAUUAGGAGAAAACCUGCGAUUUGGACCUGUCACAUGUUUAAACUGCCUGAUUUAGCUCUAGGAGCCGUUAUAAAAUUGUACUGUCGCUGUAUUCUCGAGACGAGUACUUCAGGUAGUUUAGAAUACAUUUACGCUCGUGCUGGUACGCCGAGUGAAUUUUUACAGGGUCGUUUGUGCUGUUUCCAGACUGUUGGGUGCCGUCGGGGUUGACGGUGGACCCGUAUCGUCUUUUUGGCGUUGGAUUGUGCCGAGGGCACGUUACCUGUUGGUUGUUAGACCAGUUUGAGUCGGUCAUUGGACUUUGGCUUUCAAGAGCCUGAUUGAGCUCGACAGAGAUACGCUGCAUACUCGGUUGGGUAGCGCCCACGAGUGCCACUCCGGAGACGGGCUUUGUGCUUUCGCGUUGGUGUCGCUCAUGCCGGUUGGACUUGCUCUCCACGGACCAGUUAGUGUGGAGGUAGCUGGAUAGUCGCAACUGGGCAGGGACGGGUGUAUUCACAGUCCCAGGGACGGGUAUGUUUACAGUCCCGAUUGGAUUGUGUCAGAUUUGUCAUUUCCUACAGUUGGUUAGUGUAGAGCAUGAUAGUGUAGUGAUUGAUAGCCGUAGAGUUUAUUUCCUAUUUUUCUAACUAUUCUUGCUCCCUUCUGUAGACUUAGUGGGUGGACCGAUAUUGUUUUGGGCUGUUCCCACUGAGGACUACUUGUUUUUACAGUAGUUCAGACUUAGUGGGUGGACCGAUGGUGUUUUGGGCGGUACCCACUGAGGACUACUUGUUUUUACAGUAGUUCAGACUUAGUGGGUGGACCGAUGGUGUUUUGGGCGGUACCCACUGAGGACUACUUGUUUUUACAGUAGUUCAGACUUAGUGGGUGGACCGAUGGUGUUUUGGGCGGUACCCACUGAGGACUACUUGUUUUUACAGUAGUUCUCACGCCCAGUUGUUACCCCUGUUUUGCAGAGCCACAGGUUUCGGCUGCUGCGCCUUCCGCGGAUCAGGAUCGAGGCAAGGGCGUCGCGAGUUAGAGCCCUACCCGACGAGCAGAGCUAGAGGCACCCCUACUGCAGGUAGAUGUUUUGUUUCGAGUUUAUGUACAUAGUUUACCUAACUCGCCAGUGCGAGUAACUCUGUAUUUUGGAUUUGAGCUAUGUAUAUGAAACUCAAUUUGUUUAGCUUUUGUUUUCUCUAGCAGCUCUAUACUACUGUUUGUAGUAUUGUAUGUUUACAGGUACAGCUGUCGCUUCGUGUACAGAGAAAACUCCUUUGUAUACGGCGGGUUUGUCGGCGUGCCCGGGGAACGAGACAUCCGGGGCGUGACAUUUAUUCUUUUAUAUUUGUGUGUAAAACGGGGGCCGUUGAAUGGAUAUCUUUAUUACAAGGACAAACUAUAAUAAGGAAUUUUAUAUAUGCGGAGCACUAAAAAAGAGUUUAAGAGGGGAAAAAGUCAAAACUUUUAAUGGAAUUUUCAUAGGUUCCGUUAACUGUAACAUUUUUGCCUUGGAUAUUAUUGUAAAAUGUAACUUAGCGCAAAAGAAUUUAUAUGAACAAUUUAAAAGUUAAGCAUAUUUUUUUUGAAAUUACUCAAAAUAUUAAGGAUGUACAUACAUUUUUCCAAUUUAAAAAAGAUGGCAAGUAUAAAGAGGAAUCAAUUAAUGAGAACGUGACGAUCCUCCAAUGAAUUCUAACACAAAUGACCAAAAGGAUAUCCAUUCUUUAAUUAAUUUGUGUUGGAAAUAAUAGGGCAGUUGAAACUUACGAACCGAAUAGCCAACGUAUUCGGGAACCCAAAUCGGAUUAGAUUACUUAUUUUACAAGCCUUCUUGAAUCGUCCUUAUCUUGAUGCUUCUGGAUCUCCCACGUUUCACGCCUUCUCCUACGCCUAUGCCUCACGUUACGGAUCGGAUGCGUCGAAUGUGUUGGAUGCAUUGAAGAGGGCUACCAGAGUCCUCUUCUAUGUCCACACUCCAAAACCUCGGAAACGUAGGUGGAAAUCCCAGGGAGGAAGAAGAGAGAAGAAGGAAGAUUUUUCGUAUUCAAUCAUAUUCGUUCAUCUCUCUUUUGGAGAGAAAAGUGGCGUAUUUAUAGAAUAACGAAACCCCUAAAUAUCCUGAAUCCUACAAGGAUUAGGAUAAGGAUCGGGAUAUCUAUUAACAUAUAAUAGAUAUCCACAAGUACAUUUGUUUCUUAACUGAUAAGAAACAUAAGAUUUAUUCUUAUCCUAAACUCAUUAGGAUAAAUCAUGAUCCACGCCUAAUAUAGAUCGGGUUAAAUCAUAAUCCGCCAAUGUGGACACACCAUAUGGCAACAAUCUCCCACUUGGCCAUAUUGGCCAAUUCUCUCUCACUUAUUCAUCUCUUCAUACGGGUAAUAGAGUGUGCGACCUGACAAAAGAAACACAUGCAGGAGUGCUAUAUUAAGUCACCACCUAACUAACAUAGCACUUCACUGACUUAAUUCGUCUAUACCCUAGACGUUCCAACACACACCGGAUCAAGCAUCACAAAGUCCCUCUCCUAUAAUAAUAGGGAUCGAUCCCACCGUUAUUUUUCGUACUCAUAAUUAUCUCAAGUAACACAACCGAGAUAACCGCCCGGGCAAUGAGUCACAAGACUUAAGUGGUGUGUUAUCAAAACAUCUUCCUCAGCCCCUCACGUUAGUCUAUAUUGGUCCAAGCACUUUACUAGAAAUGCUCCGCGAAAUCGUAUUUUCUCAUGACCCUGAGAUACACGCUAAGUUAGUUACUUUGGACCUCCACUUCAUAACGUAGUUCUAAGUCGAUGGUACAAAAAAAAGGUUAGUACUCACACAGUGACAUGGAGCUAGGGAAGAACUUAUGUCACUCUACUAAUUGGUCGACAAUCACAUACAGUAUGAUAUAUAUGUUAUGGCGGAGCUCCCACUCAAUGGGUCAUGUCACGCUCUAAAACGCCAUACGAACAUUGGUCUAGGUACCACUAAGGUAUCUAACAACCACAACUCAAGUCAUCUCUCUAACCUGAGUACUUAGGUUCGGCUACUAUACAGGCUCGACAUGAAAUUUUACAAAAACUUUCAUAUCCAACUCUUUAGAGUCUCAUCUUAAACUAAUUAAGGCGACUUUAAAUUAUAUCAACACUUCAUUCAUAACAUAUAUGAACAAAGUAAUCAUAUUACAACUACUCAAGUUUAAUAUGAUUAUUUAGUCUCAUCCUGCUCACCACUUAGGUGCCAGGGCGAUCACCCGUGUGAGUGGGCUGAUCUGAGCCUGGUGAGUUGUCGAAUAUGUGCCUACUAUUAUCAAUUACGCAAUCUCAUUAAGAAGAAAAACAUAUUUUUAUUAAUAAAGCGUAAGAUACAAAAUAAUGUCCAUAUCAAAACCUACGAAGACCCAAACUCUCAACGUCGGUCAGGGACAUAUCCCUAGCUAUCGGCUUGGUCAACGGAUCAGCCACUAUCCUACUGGUGGAGAUAUGUCUAAGAAUGACCUCGCCUAGCUUAAUCAUCUCUCGAAUGUAGUGAAACCGGAUAUCAAUAUGCUUGGUCCUGCCAUGAUACUUUGGAUCUUUCACAUACUACAUGGCAGCUAUGCUGUCAGAGAACAUCUCAACAAGCUUAUCAGCUCGAUUCACAAAGUCGAGGUGCUGGAGAAAUCUCCUCAGCGAAAAAACAGCCUCCUAAACGGCUGCUAAUCAAGCAACAUUUUCUGCUUCCAUAGUAGACAAGGCAACGCAUCCUUACUUCUUACUGUACUAGGAAAUUGCCUCACCUCCAAGCACAUAGCCUGAGGUGGACCUGCACUUAUCUCUAUCACCGCCCCAAUCAGCAUCACUAUAUCCUUUCAAUCUCAAGUCCCCACCUUGAAAAUAGAGAACGAGAUCACCGGUUCUUUUUACAUAUCGAAGGAUUCUCUUGACUGCUUGCCACUGAAUAGGUCCUGGGUUGCUCUGGUAACGACUUACCAAGCUAACAGCAAAGCAAAUGUCAGGUCGAGUACACAUCAUAGCGUACAUCAAGCUGCCAAUUGCACUCGCAUAAGGAACUCUACUCAUUUGCUCAUUUUCUUUAUCCGUUUUAAGGCACUGAUCUAGACUCAGAGUGUGAUUCUUUUCCACUGGAGUGUCAACGGGUUUACAAUGAUGCAUCCUAAAACGCUCCAGAACCUUUUUAAUAUAAGCUUCUUGAGACAAACUAAGAAGCUUUCUAGAACGAUCACGGAUGACCUUCACUGUAAGCACAUAGCUCGCCUCACCCAUGUCUUUCAUUUCAAAAUUGAAAGACAACCAUUCCUUAGUGGUGUUGAUUAACUCCAUGUCAUUUCCAGCCAAUAGUAUAUCGUUGACGUAUAGAGAGAGAAACAAAAUUUCAUUCUCUGUCUUCUUGACAUAUACAUAGUGGUCCUACUCUAUCAUGAACAUACCGAUAGAGGUGAUGGCUUCAUGAAACCUGAAAUACCAUUGUCUCGAUGACUGCUUGAGACCAUAAAUGGAUCUUUUAAGAUGACAAACUUUGUCUUCUUCACCUUUUAGUAUAAAACCCUCAGGUUGAUCCAUAUAGAUCUCCUCUGCUAAUUCUCCAUUGAGAAAAGCUAUCUUGACACCUAUUUGGAACAAUUCCAAAUCUAGGUGUGCCACUAAGACUAGAAUCAAACGAAUAGAGGCAAAUCGCACAACGGGAGCAAACGUCUCGUUGUGAUCUACCCCUUGCCUCUGAGUAUAGCUCUUGGCCACGAGCCGAGCCAUGUACUUAUCGGUUGAUCCAUCCACUUUGCGCUUAAUUUUUAAAACCCAUUUAUUUUCAAUAGACUUGCGCCCAGACGGAAGGUCAACUAAUUCCCAUACAUGGUUCUUACUCAUGGAGUCCAUCUCAUCUUUCAUACCAAUCAUCCACUCACUGCAAGCUAAUGUCUGUAGUGCUUCUUUAUAGGAAGCAGGCUCAUCAUCAUCGAGCGGAGUGCACAUGAAAAUAUCCCCUUCGAUCUCAAAAUGUCGGCGGGGAAUAUGUCUACAUUCACUUCUACGCAAUGGAGGGUCUGAACUGCCGACUUCUAAGGGUAUGCUCUCACUCAAAGAAGCGCUCCCACUAGCCGGAGGAUCGCUACCUAGGGGUGGAAACGAGCCGAGCUCGAGCGAGCUUACCUCGGCUCAAAUUCGGCUUGAAAUUAAUUUCGAGCCUAAAUUUAAGCUCAAGCUUGGAUUGAAAUUAUUUCGAGCCGAACUCGAGCGAGCCUAAUUUCUAAUCGAGCGAGCUCGAGCCCUAAACGAGCUGCUUGAAAUUCUCAACAUCAUACGAUCAAUAAUUUAAUUUGUAUAGAACAUUAUCUAUAAUUUGAUACAAAAAUAUGUCUAAUAGUUCAAAGUAUAAAAUAAUUAUAUAAAAUAUAGUAUUAUAAUAUGAAGAAAAAAAAAUUAUGAGUUGAAUAUCUAAUCUUUUUUCAGGCUCACAAUGUCUUUUCUUACGCUCUCAAUUCUCCAAUUAUUCACUUCAUUAUUACAGUCAAAAUAAAAUAAAUUAUUAUUAGAUAAAAUAUUGGAUUAAAUAUCCAAUCAUAUAUAACUAAAAUUAAAAUUUAUAUGAAUAUAAUUUUUUACUUUAAAAAUUUCUGUAUUUUUUCUCAAGCAUACAUAUUAAAGCAAAUAGCAACGGCAGACAUAUACUACUACUUGGUAACGUUAGGGGAUUUCACCGCUUGGCCACCAUAGGGUGAAAUACAGAAAAAAGAGAAAUAGAGAAAUAUAUGAAAAAUAUGAGCCUCAAGUGAAAGAAGAAGAAAGAAAUAUGUAUAAAUUUAGUAAAAUUUUGCUCUUUAUUUGUCCUAUUGGGUUUGUUUUAUCGGCCAAUCGUAUUAUUGCCCCAAUUAACUAAACUCUCAGAAUUAUUCAUUGAUCCUAUAUAUAAGUAAGAUAUAAAUUAAGUUUCAUAAUAUUUUUUAAUACUAUAUAUAUACAUAUAUAUUAUAUAUAUAUAUAUAUAUAUAUAUAUAUAUAUAUAUAUAUAUAAUCUACACGCUCCUAUGCUUUCGAAAGUACAGAGGCCUCUGUGCUUGUAAGUUAUUUUCAAUGAUGGGAUGUCCAAUUCGGCGAUCGGUUUCAUUAGACAUGAUCUACGCUAUUAGAACUAUCUAGAAACCAAAUUUCAUAAUUUUUUAAUUUUGUUUGCCUAGUGAACGAGUAGCCUCAAAAUGAACGAUUGAAAAUAAAAAUCUCAUAAAAAAUAAUAAUAAAGGGCUCAAAUUUCAAAUCGAAAGUAUUGUUCUUACUCUUGAUGUUAAGUAAAAUUUUCUAUUAAGUUUAAUGUAAUUUGGAUACUUCUACACCGUUGAACUUAAAAACGUGCCACAUCGGCCGUUAAAAUAGUUAUUUUUGAGACCCUCUGAUCGCUUGGUAAAUAAAGUCGAAAAAUUAUAAAAUUUGGUUUCUAAAUAGUUCCAAUAGCAUAGAUUGUGCCUAACGGAGCCGAUCGUCGAAUCGGAUGUCCUAUCAUCGAAAACAACUUACAAGCACGAAGGCCUCUGUACUUUCGAAAGCACGGGAGACGCACUAUAUAUAUAUAUAUAUAUAUAUAUAUAUAUAUAUAUAUAUAUAUAUAUAUAUAUAUAUAUAUAUAUNAUAGCUCGCCUCACCCAUGUCUUUCAUUUCAAAAUUGAAAGACAACCAUUCCUUAAUGGUGUUGAUUAACUCCAUGUCAUUUCCAGCCAAUAGUAUAUCGUCGACGUAUAGAGAGAGAAACAAAAUUCUAUUCUCUGUCUUCUUGACAUAUACACAGUGGUCCUACUCUAUCAUGAACAUACCGAUAGAGGUGAUGGCUUCAUGAAACCUGAAAUACCAUUGUCUCGACGACUGCUUGAGACCAUAAAUGGAUCUUUUAAGAUGACAAACUUUGUCUUCUUGACCUUUUAGUAUAAAACCCUCAAGUUGAUCCAUAUAGAUCUCCUCUGCUAAUUUUUCAUUGAGAAAAGCUGUCUUGACAUCUAUUUGGAACAAUUCCAAAUUUAGGUGUGCCACUAAGGCUAGAAUCAAACGAAUAGAGGCAAAUCGCACAACGGGAGCAAACGUCUCGUUGUGAUCUACCCCUUGCCUCUGAGUAUAGCUCUUGGCCACGAGCCGAGCCUUAUACUUAUCGGUUGAUCCAUCCGUUUUGCGCUUAAUUUUUAAAACCCAUUUAUUUCAAAUAGACUUGCGCCCAGACGGAAGGUCAAGUAAUUCCCAUACAUGGUUCUUACUCAUGGGGUCCAUCUCAUCUUUCAUAGCAGUCAUCCACUCACUGUAAGCUAAUGUCUGUAGUGCUUUUUUAUAGGAAGCAGGCUCAUCAUCAUCGAGCGGAGUGCACAUGAAAAUAUCCCCUUCGAUCUCAAAAUAUCGGCGGGGAUAUGUCUACGUUCACUUCUACGCAAUGGAGGGUCUGAACUGCCGACUUCUAAGGGUAUGCUCUCACUCAAAGAAGCGCUCCCACUAGCCGGAGGAUCGCUACCACUUCCUUCAGCGACUUCGGGAAGUGAUCGAUCACCCUCAAUCGCAGAUGGGGUGGCGUCGUCCUGUAACUCAUACAAUCCAACGUCUCUUCGCAUUUCACCAAUGCUUGGAAAAUCCCCUUGUAGGAAUUCCACAUCACGAGACUCAAUCUCGGUCAUACCACCAUCUCGGUGUUCACCAAAUAUCACAUAGCCUUUCAAAUUUUCAGGGUAUCUGAUGAACACAUGCUUGCUCGCUUUAGGGUCUAGUUUUUCGAAUCUAUAUGAGGGGUUGUGAACAUAUCCAGCUGAACCCCAGGGGCGUAAGUAGUGUAAACUUGGUUUUCUACCGCUCCAUAACUCAUAUGGGGUAGUUGGCAAUGAUUUGCUAGGGACUCGAUUAAGGAUGUAGGCUGCAGUCAAAAAAGCAUCUCCUCAAAAACUUAUGGGAAGUUGCGCUUGUGCCAUCAUCGACUGUAAUACACUGAACUUCGGCAAACUGUGAAUCUGAGGGUUGGAAUAGUGAUUGAAACUCUUCUACAACUUUUGUAGGAUUGUUGAGAGGCUUCAGCAAAUUACUGGAGCAAGCAGAUAUCUGGAAAUGGAAAAGUGCAUUGCAAGUGCAUUAUUCUAUUGCAAUACUUUGAAAUUGGUCAAUUACGAAGUUCGAAUGUGGGAAAUGGUAAAUGAAACUGCCUACAUAUUCUAAAGGGUUUGGACAAGUUUUUGGAUAAGUUAGAGAGUGAUUGGAUGGCUAAAAGUAAGAAGACGCAUUGUUGUGGCUUUUUCUCGAAUUUUUGUAUUGUGUACCGGUACAACAUCAAUGCUGUACCGGUACAGCAAGCAGCAGUGGCAGCAGCUGCGUGGCAGCAGGGAGAAUUUGGUUGUUUCACUACCUAAGCUUAUCUACAAGCACCUUGCUCGACCCCAGAUGUUCAGAUAAACAUGCUGGAGUUCUGAAAAAGCUUCUCCCACCUCCUCCCUCUUUCUCUCUCUAGGGUUUUUCUCUCUCUACGAGAAAGUCGCCGAUUCGCGUCGAUUUCGCGUUCCGCUUGAUGUUUGCUGACCUGGAGACUUGAAGGAAGCUCUUGGAACGUGGGGAGGUGGUGUUUCACUGAGUUUUUCGUGAGUAUAUCAUCAGAGAAGCUGAAUUUCAGCUGUUGAAAGGUAUAUGGCUUAAAAUCUCUCUAGUUUAAGAUUUAGUAUCGGAUUUUGAAUCGUUUUUAUUCUUUUGCUCCUAGCUGAAUUAAAAGAGAAUUUCAGCAGUAGAAAAAGGUGAUUUGGCUGUGAUUUAUAUAUCUUUCGUUCAGGAAAAAGUUCCUUUAAAGCUUGAUAAAGAUAACUAGUGAGUUAUGACUCUAUUUCGGGAUUAUAUGAAGUCGAAUUGGGUAAAUUGAUACUAUUUGGAAUGAUGUCUUCGCAGCAGGUUUCCGAAGUUAAUUGAGUUUAUUUGGUGACCUUGGAGACUGGUUUAGAAGGUGUCCUAACCUGAGGUAAGCUGGAAUUUCAGUUAGAAACCUAAUUUCACAAGAAUUCGGCUAUAUGAAUUAGUAUACGUGCGUUUUGACGCCGUUUAAUGGUUGUUCGCAGCGAGAGUGCAAUCGACCCUUGGAUUGUCUUCGGCUAGUUUGAGAGAGCCCUUGGAGACUUAUUUCGAGGUACUAAAGGGAACCAAAACAGGAAUUCAAGUUACUAUUUUGUACUAAGUGCGAAUUGUGCCGAAAUUGGACAUUUCGGUUGUAGUAUUGAUGUGAUUUCGUGCUUUGUUUUCAGCAGGAUUGAGACUCCAUUGAGUUGAGUUUCGGGACUUCUUGUGGCUGGAUUGAGCUUAGUGAUAGGUGGGUCUGACCUUUCCGAAAUGGGUGAAUUCUCUCUAUGCCUCCUUUGACAUCUGAGUUGAAGUUAUUCCAUAUUCAUGUGAAUAUAUGUAUAGUUCAGGGCAUUGCGAUAUGCAUUGAUGUGUAAAUCAUAUCGGAUAUGAUAGCAUCUUUAAAUAGUAAUGAAAGAUUCAUGACUUGUUCACUCUACAUGGUUACAUGUUAAAGUACUACGUAUUCAUGAUACUAGUAGCUUGCAUAUGCAAUUUUAGCUUGAUGUUAUCCAAGAGGAUAUAAUGAUAAAUUCGUGAAUGGACUAAUUAGUUCUGUUGAACAACAAAGAGAUUGAUGUAUUUAGGAUUGAGCUAUGCAAUGUUAUAUCGCAAGUAUAAUUGCUAUACUCUGAAAGAUUAGGUAAAGGCCUUUGUUUGCAUAUGCAUUUCUAAUUGUAGAAUGAAUGGCAUAGAGAUCAUGUGAAGAGUAUUUUAUCGCUUGUUUUACUUGCUUGCAUUAUCCUGUUAGUUUCUACUUUCACAUGAUAGACUUAUAUUAUGGUAUAUGUUCUAGUAAGUAACUAAAAUUUCAUAUGAUGGCAUAACUUGAAUGAUUAUUCAAUUGAAUAUAAUCUAGUAAACAACUAGAUUUGGAUAUGAUGACAUACUUGUAUAGUCAAGUAGAGAUUUAUAUUGGACUACAGAAUAUGUGCAAUGAGUCUUUGCACAGAACAUUAGUAAACCACUUUCCUUAUGUGUAAGGAGUAGUGAGAGAUUGUGAAUGACUGACCAGGUAUAGCCUGAUAGAAUCACUAGUGUGAUAUAAAGCCUUAACUUGUCAAGUUAUACUAGUUAUUGGUAGAAUCAUAUCAACAAGUUGUUGAUAGUGACUUAUGAUUGGGUACUACAGUGCCGACCUUGGGUCGAGUUGAGAUAUUUGUACCCUGGACUAUAGCUUGCAUGCCAUUACGCUCUUUCGUACAUGCUUGCGGGGGUCGCGCCCCCCAAGCCCCGCGUUCCGGAGUGGCUUGAGUUGAGAUACCAUGUCAGGGACAUGAUUCUGUUGUGAGAUUGGUACUAUGGACUACGGCUUGCAUGUCAUUGUGCGCGUUCGCACACGCUUGCGGGGUCGCUUCCCCCCAAGCCAGCACUCCCGAACAACUUAGCGAUAGAUGCUCGAAAAUGUACGAAGUGAGCGCUGAAGUGGAAUGCCGUGGGGAGUGUACACUACCACGGGGCCAUUAGGCACGGCGCGGCUUGAACUUACCUUAUGUAAGUCUGUUGGAAAUUGGGUUAUGUCAAGUGCUUUAACCUUAGCUGAACAUAGUAGUAAAAUUACUUUAUGUCUUUGGUUAAGUGAACUUAUUGAUGAACAUACUAGAAAGUUGAUAUCUAAAGUGAGGUUAGUGAUGAAUAAUCUAGAAGUUGACAUCAUGCUUGGUUAGCAACAUUAUGAAUGACAUUAUGUUUCUUUUUUGCUAAUGAAAAAGGUGAUUACAUGAUAUCAUCUGUAAUUUCGGUAAAGUGAAUUAUCUUAUACAAUCUGGUAUAUGUUUGGUUAAAUUGUCAAGUAAUAUGAUUGAUAGAAUCUAUCAUGAUAACUGAUACCUGCAAUCUAUUGAUGUUUAUUUAUUGUUGGGCAAAUAGCAUGAGUAGUUUACUUUCAUAUCUGUUGCAUGUAAUUGCUUAUUGCAUUAUCUGCAUGUACUUGUUUAUUUAUUGCUAUCUACUCAUGCCACAGUUGACCUAGUGGUGUACUUCGCCACUCUAGGCGGCUUACCCACUGGAAAUUAUUGUUUAAUAGUUCUCACGCCCUCUUUGUUGUUGUUUUUACAAAGCCUUUCACCGCGGGAAAGGCUAGGGUUCUUGGCGAGGGGUCUGCGGCUAGCUAGAGCCUUUUUGGACGUGUACCAGAUGACCUCCACCAGUUUAUGUAAUUUAGUACAGAGAUGUAGAUUAAGUUUUUGUAAAUUAUACUUUAUUCUUAUUUCUUGUAUUAAGGUUUGGAUUGUAUAAGUUUAAACUUACAAGUCUUGCUCUGAUUAUUUGGUUAGAAUUAUAUGCUUUUACUAUAUGGUUUGUAGACGCCUUGUGUAUACUUGAGUUGUGGUGUACACGGCGGGUCUGUGCACGCGACCGGAUAUGCUUCCGCUGGUACCCGGGCGUGACAUCGACCUAACCAUGUCUAGUAGAGUACGAUUCCUUCGCUCUACAACACCAUUUUGUUGCGGAGUACCAGGAAUGGUGAGCUGUCUACUAAUGCCCCUUUGCUCACAAUAAGUCUUGAACUGAUCAAACAAGUACUUACGACCUCAUUUAGUGCGAAGCACCUUUACACUUCUUUCUAUUUGAUUCUCAGCCUCUGCAACAAAGCGCUUGAAGCAAUCUAAAGCUUCGGAUCGGCGAGAAAGCAAAUACACAUAUCCAUAGCGGGAAAAAUCUUCAAUGAAUGUGAGAAAAUAGCAAACACCAUGCCGGGCCCUCACAUUCAUUGGCCCACAAAUGUCUGAGUGGAUUAGCUCUAAAGGAUGAGAGGCACGAGUAGCCUUACCGAAAGGCUUUCUAUAUACCUUUCUUGCCAGACAAGGCUAGCACACAGAUUGGUCAACUUUGGCGAGAGACCCCAAAAGGCCUUCUCGAGCCAGUCUAUUCAUUCUUUUUUGACCUAUAUGGCCUAAUCUGGCAUGCCAUUUAACGGAUUCAUCACAGAGAGUAGAAGAAGCAAAUGCAAACGAAUCAUCCUCCAAAUCUAAUUUAAAGAAACCAUCAACUAAUAUACCAUAUCCAAAUAAAGUACCAUAAAAGGAAAUAUCAAGGCGGUCUCUGUCAAAAUGGCUCUACAAAGAUUUUCAACUCCACCACAGGGACUUUGAUUUCAUUUAUUCUGCGCUCCAUUGUUGUGAUACUUCUUGCGCUUGGGUGCAACCCCACUGCGCUUCUCGGAGCGUGCAUCAAGAGCGACAGAACGGUUUGCUUCCAAGCGCUCUGCCUCGAGCUUGAGAUGACGCGAGAUAUCGUUAGACGUUUUAAUGUUCUCGCUAUGCAUCAACAGAAGCUUCAUCUGGGACCAUACAUGAUCAAGCAGUAAACGAAUCACCGCUAGAACUUGUUGCUCAUCAGUGAGCUCGUUUCCAGCAGUUUUAAGGUCCCGAAUCAUGGUGCUCAUCACAUGGAGAUGCUCAACCAUUAAAUAUUUCGGGUCCUCAAUACACUGUUGGAACUUUAUAUUUAAGGCACGUAGCCUCGUGGUUGAAAUUUGCCCAAAAGCAAUCUUCAGAUUGUCCCAUAUGUCCUUGACAGUUUCAAAAGAUCUCAAACUAUCUAAUGAGGUCGUCUUGCAUGGCACACAACACAGUGUACCGAGCAGUUCGAUCAUCCUUCUUGUUAUAUAUCUCUUUUUCAUGUUUAGAAGUGGUGCCUUCGACAGGCAUAACCCUUUUUGACAGAGAGAGAGUUUCGAGAACACCUUGUUCAUUAAGCAGGUAUUGCAUUUUCCUAUGCCAAAUAUCAUAAAUCUUUCCAUCUAGCUUAUCACCCCUAGUGAGAUCAGCUAUGAUGAUUUUGAAAAUUAUUUCACUACAUUCAAAAAUAGGUUUGGACAUUAGGCACAUAUUCCAAAAAAAAAUUAACAAGAUUGGAACAUUAUCCUCGACACAAUGGUAUCGAAAACUUCGCUAUGCUCAUAAUCAUCACCCAGUGUCGGAUCAAAAUGGUACAAUCUCAUUAAUUUUCUAUUAAUUUUGAAACUUAUCCAAAAAUAAAUAUCCAUUUUGAAAGAACACAUCUUUUCUUUGAAAAAUAUUUAUAUAAGGAGAACUUAUCUCAUAAUAUCAUCACACAGAUAAAAAUAAGUACUUAUGCCAAAAUUUAAUUUGAAAAACGUCAACGCUGUGCAAAACACAUUCCUCUACAUGGCCUUAAUUAUUACAUCAUUUUUUGCAUAAUUAAAACCUACUACAUCACUACAAGAUGUACAUCAGAAAAAAUAAUAUUUUACAGCACGCGACGGGCUGGGCCAUGCACCCGCAAGCCUCCCUCACUGCUUCGGGUGCAUGCCCGCACUAGUAGCGGGCCCGUAUGGCGCGCGGGUGCAGGCCUGCAGCCGCAUCGGGCCGGGCCCGCACUGGUGCGCGCGAGUAGCAGCGGGCCGGCCCGUGCGCUGUUGGGGCGGGUGCUCACUGCGCCAUCAGCGGGCCGGGCCUGUGUGAUGCUCGCUGGGCCGCACUCCCGUCCGCAGCAGGCCUAGCCCGCGCGGUCGAGUGCACGCCGCCCCGCAGCGGGCCGGGCCCGCAACGGUGCGUGCCGGUCUGCGCCCGCAGCGUCCGCAGCGGGCCGGGCCCGGCGCGGUGCGUGCGGCCUGCGCCGAACCCGAAGCGCACCGGCAACGAAUAUAUAUAUAUAUAUUAUAAUUAACACAAUGCACAAAAGCGAACUGUCAAGAAAAAUUAAAACAUAUUUUAAUUUUCCUUUUCCUCUUUUAAUUUCAACAAAGAAACCAAAAAAAACUAAAUUAAAAACUGCAUAAAUUACGAUCAAUUUUGAAAAAACUAAUUCAGUUUUCUCUUACCUUCUUUAAUCGAAUUUCACAUAGAAAAACGAAAAAAAUUGUAGAGACUAAUCUACCCAUGAAGAAUUGAUCAGCGAAUGCGAUUUAAAACAUACCAACAUUAUCACAAGGCGAAAACAAGCAUGUAGGCUCUGAUACUAAUUGUUGGAAAUAAUAGGUAGCAGAAACUUACGAACCGGAAUAGCAACGUAUCCGGGAACCCAAAUCGGAUCUGGAUUACUUGUUUUACAAGCUUUCUUGAAUUGUCCUUAUCUGAUACUUCUGUGAUCUCCCACGUUUCACGCCUUCUCCUACGCCUAUGUCUCACGUUACGGAUUCGGUGUGCGUUAAAUGUUUGGAUGCGUUGAAUAGGGCUACCAGAGUCCUCUUCUAUGUUCACACUCCAAAACCUCGGGAACGUAGGUGGAAAUCCUAGGAGGAAGAAUGAGAGAAGAAGGAAAAUUUUUUGUAUUCAAUCAAUUCGUUUAUCUCUCUUUGAGAGAAAAGGGGCGUAUUAUACGAAUAACAAAACCCCUAAAUAUCCGAAUCCUACAAGGAUUAGGAUAAGGAUCGGAAUAUCUAUUAACAUAUAAUAGAUAUCCACAAAUAAAUUUGUUUCUUAACUGAUAAAAAUAUAAUAUUUAUUCUUAUCCUAAACUCAUAUAGGAUAAAUCAUGAUCGCACUAAUAUGGAUCGGAAUUAAAUCAUAAUCCGCCAAUGUGGACAUAGCAUAUGGCAACAAUUUGCAAUAUAUUGCAUAUAUAGUAUUUUAAUUAUUAUUUAUUUGACAUAAAUUGAUUUCAAAUAAAAUAAUAUUUUUAUGUGCUCAUAGAAGUACGUACGUCAAGUUAAGCCAUUAUAUAUAUAUAUAUAUAUAUUAAUAUAUAUAUAUAAUAUAUAUAUAUAUAUAUAUAUAUAUAAUAGCAUUGAGCUGGAAUAGCUAUUAUAGUAAACGCCUUUUUGCUAUCAAGUUUUAAGACCUUUGGAUGAAAAAUUUGAGGUCAGGAUGAUAUUAGUCAGUUAGAGUUAGUAGGUUCCCAGCUAGGGUUGAGUGGUUCCACUCGUUAUAGUUAUUUAAUCCAAUGGUUAGUAAUAAUGAAAAGAGUUGAUCAAAGGCUAAAAACUGGUAGCAACAAUGAGAUUUUGCUACUAAAUAGUAGCUCAGUCCAACUAUGCCAGCUACUAUCCUAUUAAUAGGAUGGAGACCAUCGUCCUAUCAAGUCGUUCUUGACGAUAGAGAUGCCGAAUCGAUGAUCGGAACCAUUAAAGUUGAUCUAGAGUAUUUGAAAUAUCUAGAAACUAAAUUUCAGAAAUUUUAAAAAUUAUUUACAUGGUGAUUAAAGGAUCGUAAAAUCGACAAUUUUUGACGGCCUAUAUCAGUCGUUUGCUUGUUUAACGGUGUAGAGUAGUCCAAACUGCUUGAAUUUUUGAUAGAAAAUUUUUUAUACUAUUUAGAUAAUAUUUGAUAACUCUGAUCAUGAUUUGAGAAAUUUUAAAAUCUAUUUUAAGAAGAUUAUUCAUUUAUGACCGUUCAUUUUUUUGACUCUUCGAUAGACUUGAUAAUGAUUUUCAAAAAUUACAAAAUUCGAUUUUUUAAUAUUUCUUUUAGUGUAGAUCAAUUUUAACGGUGCUGAUUAUCAAUUUGGAGUGUCGAUUAUUCAAAACGACUUGAUAGGACAAUGGUCCCAAUCCUAUUAAUAGGAUAGUAGCCUCUAUAUAUAUAUAUAUAUAGAGUCCNNNNNNNNNNNNNNNNNNNNNNNNNNNNNNNNNNNNNNNNNNNNNNNNNNNNNNNNNNNNNNNNNNNNNNNNNNNNNNNNNNNNNNNNNNNNNNNNNNNNNNNNNNNNNNNNNNNNNNNNNNNNNNNNNNNNNNNNNNNNNNNNNNNNNNNNNNNNNNNNNNNNNNNNNNNNNNNNNNNNNNNNNNNNNNNNNNNNNNNNNNNNNNNNNNNNNNNNNNNNNNNNNNNNNNNNNNNNNNNNNNNNNNNNNNNNNNNNNNNNNNNNNNNNNNNNNNNNNNNNNNNNNNNNNNNNNNNNNNNNNNNNNNNNNNNNNNNNNNNNNNNNNNNNNNNNNNNNNNNNNNNNNNNNNNNNNNNNNNNNNNNNNNNNNNNNNNNNNNNNNNNNNNNNNNNNNNNNNNNNNNNNNNNNNNNNNNNNNNNNNNNNNNNNNNNNNNNNNNNNNNNNNNNNNNNNNNNNNNNNNNNNNNNNNNNNNNNNNNNNNNNNNNNNNNNNNNNNNNNNNNNNNNNNNNNNNNNNNNNNNNNNNNNNNNNNNNNNNNNNNNNNNNNNNNNNNNNNNNNNNNNNNNNNNNNNNNNNNNNNNNNNNNNNNNNNNNNNNNNNNNNNNNNNNNNNNNNNNNNNNNNNNNNNNNNNNNNNNNNNNNNNNNNNNNNNNNNNNNNNNNNNNNNNNNNNNNNNNNNNNNNNNNNNNNNNNNNNNNNNNNNNNNNNNNNNNNNNNNNNNNNNNNNNNNNNNNNNNNNNNNNNNNNNNNNNNNNNNNNNNNNNNNNNNNNNNNNNNNNNNNNNNNNNNNNNNNNNNNNNNNNNNNNNNNNNNNNNNNNNNNNNNNNNNNNNNNNNNNNNNNNNNNNNNNNNNNNNNNNNNNNNNNNNNNNNNNNNNNNNNNNNNNNNNNNNNNNNNNNNNNNNNNNNNNNNNNNNNNNNNNNNNNNNNNNNNNNNNNNNNNNNNNNNNNNNNNNNNNNNNNNNNNNNNNNNNNNNNNNNNNNNNNNNNNNNNNNNNNNNNNNNNNNNNNNNNNNNNNNNNNNNNNNNNNNNNNNNNNNNNNNNNNNNNNNNNNNNNNNNNNNNNNNNNNNNNNNNNNNNNNNNNNNNNNNNNNNNNNNNNNNNNNNNNNNNNNNNNNNNNNNNNNNNNNNNNNNNNNNNNNNNNNNNNNNNNNNNNNNNNNNNNNNNNNNNNNNNNNNNNNNNNNNNNNNNNNNNNNNNNNNNNNNNNNNNNNNNNNNNNNNNNNNNNNNNNNNNNNNNNNNNNNNNNNNNNNNNNNNNNNNNNNNNNNNNNNNNNNNNNNNNNNNNNNNNNNNNNNNNNNNNNNNNNNNNNNNNNNNNNNNNNNNNNNNNNNNNNNNNNNNNNNNNNNNNNNNNNNNNNNNNNNNNNNNNNNNNNNNNNNNNNNNNNNNNNNNNNNNNNNNNNNNNNNNNNNNNNNNNNNNNNNNNNNNNNNNNNNNNNNNNNNNNNNNNNNNNNNNNNNNNNNNNNNNNNNNNNNNNNNNNNNNNNNNNNNNNNNNNNNNNNNNNNNNNNNNNNNNNNNNNNNNNNNNNNNNNNNNNNNNNNNNNNNNNNNNNNNNNNNNNNNNNNNNNNNNNNNNNNNNNNNNNNNNNNNNNNNNNNNNNNNNNNNNNNNNNNNNNNNNAUAUAUAUAUAUAUAUAUAUUAUAAUUACAAUGCACAAAGAAACUGAUCAAGAAAAAUUAAAACUAAUUUAAUUUUCCUUUUUCCUCUUUUUAAUUUCACAAAGAAACCAAAAAAAAACUAAAUUAAAAAACUGCAUAAAUUACGAUCAAUUUUGAGAAAACUAAUUCAGUUUUCUCUUCCUUCUUUUUAAUCGAUUUCACAUAGAAAAACGAAAAAAAUUGUAGAACUAAUCUACCCAUGAAGAAUUGAUCAACGAAUGCGAUUUAAAACAUCACAAGCAUGAUCACAAGGCGAAAACAAGCAUGUAGGCUCUGAUACUAAUUGUUGGAAAUAAUAGGGUAGCGGAAAUUUACGAACCGGAUAGCCAACGUAUCCGGGAACCCAAAUCGGAUUGGAUUACUUGUUUUACAAGCCUUCUUGAAUCGUCCUUAUCUUGAUACUUCUGGAUCUUCCACGUUUUACGCCUUCUCCUACGCCUAUGUCUCACGUUACGGAUCGGGUGUGUUGAAUGUGUUGGAUGCAUUGAAUAGGGCUACCAGAGUCCUCUUCUAUGUCCACACUCCAAAACCUCGGGAACGUAGGUGGAAAUUCUAGGGAGAAAGAAGAGAGAAGAAGGAAAAUUUUUUGUAUUCAAUCAUAUUCGUUCAUCUCUCUUUUGGAGAGAAAAGGGGGCGUAUUUAUAGAAUAACGAAACUCCUAAAUAUCCUGAAUCCUACAAGGAUUAGGAUAAGGAUCGGAAUAUCUAUUAACAUAUAAUAGAUAUCCACAAGUAGAUUUGUUUCUUAACUGAUAAGAAACAUAAGAUUUAUACUUAUCCUAAACUUAUUAGGAUAAAUCAUGAUCCACACCUAAUAUGGAUCGGAUUAAAUCAUAAUCCGCCAAUGUGGACAUAGCAUAUGGCAACAAUUUGCAAGUAUAUUGCAUAUAUAUAGUAUUUUACAUUUAUUAUUUAUUGACAAGAAAUUGAUUGUUCAAAUUAAAAUAAAUAUUUUUAUGUGCUCAAUACAGCAAGUACGUACGUCAAGUUAAGCCAUUAUAUAUAUAUAUAUAUAUAUAUAUAUAUAUAUAUAUAUAUAUAUAUAUAUAUAUUCUUUUUCGUUUAAAUUUGAACAAGAAAAUUCUAUCUUUAUCACUGUUUAGAAUAGUAUUGUAGGUUUUAGUUGAAAAGAUAGCCCAAAGCAUAUUAGUACUUAAUGCGUUCGCUAGUUUGAUAAUUCACAAACGUUCGAUUCGUCAAAGUACGGCUUAUUCUCUGCGUGACCUAGCGCUUGUGUUAAUCGAGAACAACCAAGGAGUUAAGACGACUUAUUCUCGGUAUCUAUGACGACACAGACAAUUAAUAUACACUGCAAUAAUACGCGCGAUUAGCUGUUUCGCGAGAGCACAUUAGUGUGCUCUAUAUGAUAUGAUAGGGAUAAUAAUUCGAAUUCGAUAGCGUCUUCCGAAUCCUUGCACGCGAGGCACAUUUGAUACACUACUUGAUUUUUCAUACUUACGUAGCUAUCAUAACUACUUGACAUCUUAAAAAUAAAUAUCUUAAUUUGUUUGAGAAUUUAUAUGGGAGUAAUACACUUUAACCACCUGAAUUUACAUUUAUUAUCGCGGCAGUUAGCAAUUAAGGUGUAGAAAAAUAUCGUUGAGAUGUCUAAUCACUUGAUUAAGACCAUGUAAUUAGGCCCAAAUUUGUGAAAGUUCACAUCUUAAUUAAAAGGCUACACCACUUGCUUUCAUUGCCAGGUUGAUCAAGCUGUGUAAUUAGGCCUGUGUCUCAACCAAGACCAUUUAUUUCUCAUGUAUUAGAUAGUGAAAUAAUGAGUACGGCUACUAUACUAUGGAUAACACCAAAUACCUGGUGCUAUCAGUUUUUUACUGUUAGAUCUAUUCCUUUAACUAUUUAUACUGAUUAGAUCAUAGUAUUCAACCAACCACCAACUCAACUCUAGGAGACCACUAUCAUCCGAACAGCAUAUUCCCUCAUCCAAGGGCCGAAAACCUAAUAACACCAAUGACUUGGUGCUAUUAAUAAUAUAGUAGCCUAAUUCGUGAAAUAAUAUACAAUUUAUAAUAUAAUGAGUUGAGCUCCUCUGCUUUUAAAAGUAUGGGAGAAUUUGUGCUUAUGGCUUUUUAACUUUUGGAUCGUUUUAAGACUCAUACAGCAUUAUUAACGGUAUGCCCCAUUAAGUCCUCUUGACCAGUGCUGCAUGAAUCUUGAGGUGAUCUGACGAUUAAAAAAUCACAAGCACAAGAUGCUCCGGUGCUUUUAAAAGCACAGGAACUCAAUAGAUGAUAAAUUAAUGUACUGAAAAAUGAGAAGAGAUAAUUAAUCCAAAAACCCUAAAUUUACCUUGUAAAUAGAACCCCCAAAAAAUGAAAAAAUUUCCUUCCAAGAAAUUAAUAGUUUCUCUUGUAAGAUCCAAUCAACCAUUCUUUGAAUUAACUCAAGCAGGUGGAUCAAAUAAAUCAAUUUAAUUUAAAAUAAAACAUUAUAACACUAUCUCUCUCACCUAGAUAUGUUAGUGGGCCAAGAUGAACUAAGUGGCCCAACUCACCCAAAUACUUAAAAAAGUAUAUUUUUCAAAUCUCAAUUUCAAAAAAUUCAAAAUAGCANUAAUUAUAUUAAUUUUUAUUUAUUAUAAUUUAUUAUUCACUAUAAGUUACAAAAUAGACAAUGAUAUCACUUUGGAGGUAAGUAUACCGGGGGUGAAAAUCUACACUUUUUACGUCAUCUGCUUUCUACCAAAUAAACAACAAAGCUCGCAGAACUGUACUUUCACAAUUAGAAACAAACAGCAGAAGUGAACUAAUUUUCUCUCCAACUCCACUUCAACCCAAAGUCCAUUUCCAUCCCAAGUCUACUUACGUUGAAACAAACAUGCUUAAGCCAAACUCAAGCUUUGCUCGUCUAUGUAUACUAGCUCAACUCACCCGUUGUAUAUUUUUAAGCUUAAAGGAAGCGGAUACAAGGGAAUUGCGCUUUUAAUGGUAUAGUAUAUAUGGAUCCAAAGGCCCAAAAGUCAAAAGUUUAUGCUUUUAAUAGUAUAGUAGCUCAGCUCAUUUUGAUGUGUCAAUUUUGAAAACCCAUUUUGUUUUUGUCCUAACUGUUGGAAAUCCGGUACUCCCCCUAUUAUCGAAUUUUGAAAAUCCGUAAUUCGUUCCGAUAUCAAUUGCUGUUGAUCUGAUACUGAUUGUUUGAAUUCUGCAACGAAAACGUCGAAUCGGAUUUUUACGAUAAACCCGUCUUUUCAGCAAAAUCUAAUACAAUCACAAAGAAAAGAAAAAAACUAAACUGAAAAUAUGAAGAUAAAAUAAGAUUUAUUAAAUAAGAAAAGAUUACACCUGACUUCUCUUCUGUAACAGAAUGGUUACAACUCGAGCUUUCUUUUGAAUCUUUCUUAUCCUUCUUUCAUCUUCUAUAAACCCAUAAAAAAAAUAACUCUCUCUUUUUCUCUCUUACAUGCCCCUGUGCACUUAAAUGCAUACAACUGGGCUUAGUCUUCUCCACGUUAUGGUCACCAUCAUAAAAAGCUCUCAGUCAUUCGUACCCAAGAUGUACCCAAAUCCUAGCACUAACAUUUAUAGAUUUUUUUUUUUUUGGGAAGCUUUCCACACCAUUAUGUGAUUUAUCAUUGUUUUAUUUUGGUAUUUUAUAGUUUUAAGGGAAAACUUCAAAAACCCCCCCUGUGGUUUCGUGCAUUCUCACUUUGCUACCCUGUGGUUUAAAACGUAUCAAUUUACCCCCCUGUGGUUUCAUUUUUAUCUUUUCGAAAGCUUUUUCGUUAAUAUUUCGUUAAAUUAUAUACAAAAAACUUCAGAUAACCAUCUAUAUUUAUCGAAUAGUCACUUUAGUAUCCUUUAAUUUUAACUUUGUCACUGAUUUUAAAAAAUAAUAAUAAUAAAAUUGAUAACAAAAAAAUAGAAACGAAACCACAGGGGGGCAAAUUGAUACGUUUUAAACCACAGGGUAGCAAAGUGAGAAUGCACGAAACCACAGGGGAGGUUUUGAAGUUUUCCCUAAUUUUAUUGUAGAGGAGUAAUUGUAUAAUCAAUAAUGUUACACUCAUUACAUAAAAGAAACUAAAAGGAGCUCUGAGUUUUCGUCUCUGCGCUCCCAUCUCAUUCCCGGAAUUCGAACCUUCGCCGGCGACAUUGCCGGCAGCAAGUUUUGCUGAUGCUCAAAGUUUGUCUGCGAGCAAUUCUACGUCGGUGAAUUCAUCUUUCUCUUGUCGUAUCUUGCGGCUUCAUCUCCUUCGCCAGAGUUCAAACCUUCGCCGGCGACGUUGCCGGCAGCCAACUUCGUCGGCGCCUGAAACUUCGCCGGCAGCCAGCUUCGCCGAUAUAGAUUGCGUGCCGAUGAAGCUUUGAGCACCAGCAUAGUUGGCGGCCGACAAAUUUUCAGGCACCGGCGAGCGAGAUGGCAGCGCAAAGGCGAAAACUCUUAGUCGCUUGGGCCCCAGUUCAUUUCUCUCUCAAAUGGAAUUUCGCAUUCCCUCUCAGGGAACAAGAUUAGUGCAUAAAUAAAAUGCUGUGGGUAUAGAAAUAGUGUUGAAUGUAUAAUACGAUAUAUGCUUGGUGAAUUCCAGCAUUACAAUAACAAGCAAAUCUAAAGAUCGAUUAGUUUGAGCUCCUUUCACUUUUACAAUAAAUUCACAACAUUUUUUUAAGUAUUUUUGUUAUUUUUUCGACACACUAAAGAAAAUAUCCAAACAACUUUCCAUAAAUAUAAACACCACCCAAAAUUUACUUCAGAUAUAUUUAGUAGCUAAAAUGAACAAAAAAACCGUGCUAAAACUCACUACUUUUAAAUAUUUAAAAAUAAUAACCAUGCCAAAGCUGAAAAAACAUGGACCCAAAACCACUAAAUUUUACUAGAGACAAUCUAUUAAGCAUAUCUGGAGUUUCAUUUAUUAACAACGAAAAGGUUUUAUAAAACAGAUUGUGCAACUGCCCCUGAAUUCUAUCAAAGUGUCCUCGAAUUCUCAACUGUCAAAUUCAAGCAUUUCACACCCCAAACUCAGGAAAAGUUGUCUAAUUAUCAUCCUUUCUAUAAAAACUUAGGUUACCACAUCUAACAUUUCCCGAUUUUUGAUGAGACUAAAGAUGGAAAUGGAUGCCGACGUAUGACAUGGUGCAGUCAAAGAAACAACCAUUCAUGUUGGUAUCCAAAUCUGAAUUCGACAAAGUCGAAGAGGUAAAAAAUACCUAGUGGCAAACUAGUUUCAUACAAACACAAACCAACAAAACAACACCAAACAGAUUCAAUCAGAGACUGCGAAGUUGCUAUCACCGAAAAUAAAAAGCCAAUAAAAAUGUACCGCUUGAUGACCAGUUAUUAACACCANAGUUGACCACAAAAAAAAUGAAGUUAUUGUUGUGGUUAAAAAAUACAUAGCAUAUCUCUCUCUCUCUCUCUCUCUCUCUCUCUCUCUCUCUCUCUAAUAUAUAUAUAUAUAUAUGCACCUCACUAAAUGGAAAACUCAACCACAAGCAAUCUAUACCGGCCUCCUCUUCAAGCCUCAGCAAAUCUCCUCUCUCAAGGUUUGCAAAACUCUCUCUCUCUCUCUCUCUCUCUCUCUCUCUCUCUCUCUCUCAUCUUUAUCUUUGACUUUCAUUUUUCUGUAUUUUUUCUUCUCUUUGUUCUCAGCAGCUAGCUAGCCUUUGAUAUUUAGUAAAAUUAGUACAUGUAUGUGACUAGUUAUUACUUCGAGUUCAGCUCAGAAAAAGUCACACUAACAAACAAUAGUGCAAAUAUUUAUUCUGCAUCUCAGUUUUCUUUAUAACUAAUCUAAAAUUGCAACCCAAAUGUCUAAUUAGUUACAGAUUUCAUUCAAAGUGUAUUGCAUAUAUGCAUGGUUUCUGUAAGUUAUAAGAUAGCUUCAUCUAAGUCAAAAUCUUCUAGUUUUAGCAAAGGCUAAUUAAGUACAGCUUAAUGAAUGUAAUGAAUAUUGUUUUCCCUAAUUAAUUUUUGUUUCUAUAUUUGGUUUUAGUUAAUCGAGCUAGAAUUUUUAGCAAAUUAAACACAAAUUUGGAUAUUUGUAUAUUUGUGUUUUGGUGUUUGUAUUAGCAGGGAAGAAACUAGACUUUCGGUUUGGAAGGGGUAAGAAUACAUAAUAUAUUUAUUGUAAAAAAAAAUUAUAAAAAAAUCAUAAUAAAAGUUUCAAUGUGUAAGGUACAAGCUUUUUUGGAAAAAAAAAAUCACUUAUAACUUCUAGAAUUUGUACUUAUGUAAUUUUCAAAAGGGUAAACUUCAAAUUGUGGCCCUUUGGUUUAGAACAAGUUUGUAGUUCAUAAGGUUUCACUUUGGCCCUACUUUUUAUUUUAUCAAAAAAUUCUACAUGAAAAAGGAUGACAAAGUAAAAAUUUUUAAAAAAUCAUAAAAUGUCGAAGUAAAGUAAUACAGUAAACCACGGUCGGGCGAAUUACAACUUUUUAAACUAUAGCGUGACAAAGUGAAAAAUAAAUUAAACCACAAGGGGAUAGUCUCUCAAUCGCUCUAUUCCUGUGUACUAGUACGGAUGUAUUUAAAUUAAGGAAUGAUUGUUUAUAGCUUUUCAUAAACAUAUCGAAUAGCAGAUAUAUAUCUAUAAAGUUUAAGUUUCAAAUUUAUCAUUAAAAAAGUUGUAACGGUUUCAAAUAUACCCAUACUGUUUGUGUCCGUUAGAAAAAUAUAGUUAAUCAUAGAUAAAAUACUUAGUGUGUGAGAUAAAUUGACCUUUUUUUUCUUAUGAUAUUAUUUUUUUUUCCCUCAAUCAAAAUCCUAGUUUGAUUAAAACCCUAGCAAUGGAAAUUUUUCUUCCUCUUCCUCAUCCUCUCUCUCCUUUAUGCUAGUUUCGAGUUCGUAACUACGGUUUUUCUAUCCCUAUUCGUUUACAACGUGUGUUGCUUUACCCAUAUCAAGUGUCGGGAAGUCAUAGAUAGGUAAAGGAGAAGAUGUUUGAGAGAUGUAGAGAAAAUGUUGCAAUAAUGAUAGAUUAGAUUAGUUUUUAUAGAGGAAGAAGCUAGAUGACCAUUGAAAUUUUUUUUGAAAGGAUAUUUCUGUACGAUUCUAACAGUUGGGCAUUUAGAGGGACUUAUUUGUAAUAAGCAAAAUUAAUAUUUUACUUAGCUUUUGUUUAAAAAUAAACAGCCAGCUAACGGUAACACAAAGGGACAAAUAUGAAUAUCCCUAAACUUUUGAAAGGACAAAUAUGAAAACUUCAACUUUCUAGAGAUAUAUCUACUAUCCGAUAUGCUUAUAAGGAGCGUGUACGAAAUUACCCCUUAAAUUAAGUACGAUCUAUAAUAGACACUAAAAUUUUAAAAUAAAAUGUCUUUGUUUCUUAUUUAUUAUUAUGUAUACACUAUGGAAUAGUCAAUUUAAGUCUUAUUAAUAUAGNUGACUAUUCCAUAGUGUAUACAUAAUAAUAAAUAUGAAAACUUCAACUUUCUAGAGAUAUAUCUACUAUCCGAUAUGCUUAUAAGGAGCGUGUACGAAAUUACCCCUUAAAUUAAGUACGAUCUAUAAUAGACACUAAAAUUUUAAAAUAAAAUGUCUUUGUUUCUUAUUUAUUAUUAUGUAUACACUAUGGAAUAGUCAAUUUAAGUCUUAUUAAUAUAGGCACAGAAAACAAAAAUUAGUCUUGAUUUAAAAUGAAAUGACGAGAGAAGGCAUUAAUUAUAAGUCUAAACAACUUGGAUUUUUUAAAACUAUCAAUUAGAUGAUUCUUUUAGUAUCGAUCCUUUUAAAUUACAAUUGUGAUUCAGGUUAAUUGUUGAUCCUAAAUUCCAAAUAGAAUAGCUUAUAAAAUAAGGCACUAUUUUUUUUUUAGUUUUAUUGGUCGACCCGCUCCACAAAUUAAUGCAACUGGCCAUAAUUUGCGGAGUCAAACUAGAUUUGCAGAGUCAAUUGUAAAAAGUUUUGUUUAUCAGAGGUUGCAUGUAUUUCCAUUACGGCUCUGUUUGGAUAUCAGAAUAAGAAAUUCAUUGACAAUUUACGUAGAAUGAAAAUCUUUUUGUGCUUUCGAAAGUUUGAAGUUUGAUUUUUUUUUUUUUAUCCUUCUUGAACUUUGUUUUGAUGUCAGUAUAGGUUAUUCAAAAAUAAUACAUUUGGUAUGAGAAUUUUGUUGUGUGACUGAAAGUUAGGAGUUUAAUUUUUGCUCUUUGGAGGCCUAGUUUGGAUGUACGGAAAUCUUAUUUAGCACAUUUCUCAGAUUUAUUUGAGGAGCUUGUAUAUUUGGUAGAUGAAGAGUGUGAUCAGACUUUCAAGUUAUUUUUUCGAAUAAGAUAAUUAAUUAUCUUAUAGGUAAAAUAUACUAUUCUAUCAAAUUAUGAGUAUCAAAAAAAUUUAAUUAGCAAAAAUCAAAUGCACGUUUUAUAAUCAUAUUAGAAAAUUUUUAUCCUGAUAAGUUAUCCUAGGAUAACUUUUAUGACUUUCAAAAAGGGUAAAAAUGUUCUGAUAUUUAUAAUUUGAUAGAAUAGUAUAUUUUACUUACGAAUUAAUUUAUUUUAUUUCAAGAAAAUAAUUUAAUUUAAGGCCGGCCAAAUAUACUAUUCCAUUUGAGACAUUAAUCACACUCUCAUUUUACCAAGUACUAUAAGCUUCUCCAUUAAAUCAAAAAAAAAUUUCUAAACAAAACAAGCAUGCAUCCAAAUAGAGCUAAAAGUCUUGAUAUUUAUAAUUUAAUAUGAUAAUAUAUAUAUAUUUUUUAUAGAAGUUGUUUUAUCUUAUUUCGAAAACAGACUCAAAACCAAGAAUAUUUUUUAUUUUAGACAUUUGAUAAUAAUUUCUCAUCUACCGAGGAGUAGGUCAAAUUAAUAUAUGUGUCGAAUAAAAUAUUUGUGCAACCUAACAGUGUAGACAUGUUUGUGACUUUUCACACUUUAAACGAAAACUAUUUUUGAGUAUAAAAUUUUCCUUUCUUUGUAAUCAAACCUACAAGUUGACUAGAGAAGUUGCUGUGGAACUACACUGGAGUAGGGAUGCAAACGGGGCGGAUCCGGAGGCGGGAGAGUUUCCCCACCUUCCGCUUCAUUUCUUAUCGGGGUGGGACGGAUUCGGGGCCGGUUACUUUUCAUUUUAUUUUUGACUCUUACUUACCAUUCCAUUCGGGGCGGAUCGGGGCGGGAGCUGAAUUUUUGACGGAUCGGGGCGGAUUGAAGGAAGAAAAGAGUCUCCCACCUCCCCCUCCAUUUACUUGGCGGAUCGGGGCGGAUUCGGGACGGGUUAUAUUUUUUUAUAUUUUUUGUUCCCACUUACCACCCCAUUCGGGGCGGAUCGGGGCGGAGCUCCACCAACCCGGAUCCAUUUGCAUCCCUACACUGGAGUUCUCUCUCACAAAUAUUCUUAUUAAAAAAUAAACACUUUUAUUUAUUUAUUUAUUUAUUAAGAGAAAGGUAAUAAGCUAUAUCCGUCUUCGUUUAUAUCUUAAAAAAAAAAAAUUCAAUUAGGAAAAUAAAAUAAAAAAGUUUCAACCUUGGAACCUUAGUACUUACCAUCAAAUUAAUUCUUAACCAAUACUAUUAGGUGCAAUUAGCAACAUAACUUUUUUCUUAUUGGUGUUAAAAAUGUACGUAAUUUAUUUGAACUAUGAAUUAUGGAUCAUUUUAGAUCGACUAUCUAAUCUUUCAAAAUUUUGAUUUUAUUACUUAAUCUUUCAAUUUAUUUAAUUUGAAUUAAUUCUUCAAUGAUAUUUUGGCUUUAAAAUUUAAAUUAAUUACUUAUUUUAAUAAAUUUAUAACGGUGAGAAUUGUAUAAAUUAAGUAUACUGCCUAACCAUUUAAAGAUAGACCCUGUAUUCCAAAAUUGAAUCAAUAUAUUGUCAACCGACUCAGAUCAAAUAAAUUAAAGGAAAAACUUUAAAUACCCCUCCUGUGGUUUAGCACUUUCUCAGUUUAGCAUCUUAUAGUUUAAAGUGUAUCAAGUUAGUACCCUGUGGUUUCGCACCUUCUCACUUUAGUACCAUGUGGUUUUAAGUGUAUCAAGUUAGUACCCUGUGGUUUUAUUUUUGUAUCAAGUUAGUAUCAUGUGAUUUUAAUUUUUUCUUUCUUUUAUCCUCGUCGAGGUAUAUAAUUUAAUAAAAUAUUAAAUCACAUGGUACUAAAGUGAGAAAGUGCAAAACCACAGAGUACUAACUUGAUACACUUGAAACCACGUGGUACUGUGGUACUAAAGUGAAAAAGUGCGAAACCACAUGGUAUUAACUUGAUAUAAUUUAAACAAUAUAGUACUUAAAUGAAAGAGUAUAAACCUACAAGGGGGUAUUUGAAGUUUUUCCAUAAAUUAAAUAGUUAGAUAGUAAAAUUAAAAUUUUAAGAAGUUAACCAGUCAACGCAAGAAAGUCCUUAGAUCUUAUAAUUUGUGGGCUAGCUUCUAGUCCUGCGCCGCUUGAUCAGUUUGAGAAAUUUUUGAAAAACUACAUGCAGGUCAGGUAGGAACUUAAGCAAAAACUGCUACUAUCACCACCACUGCCGCCGCUGCCGCCACCGCCACCGCCGCGACCGUGACCGCCAUGGGUCGGACGGAGCUGAAUGUUCUGAGCAAGCUCGACGGGGCGAAGACGCAGCUGUACCACUUCACGGCGAUCGUGAUCACCGGCAUGGGGUUCUUCACCGACGCCUACGACCUCUUCAGCAUCUCCCUCGUCACCAAGCUCCUCGGCCGCAUCUACUACUACGACCCCUCCUACCCGGCCCCCGGCAUCCUCCCCCCCAACGUCGCCGCCGCCGUCAAUGGCGUCGCCUUCUGCGGCACCCUCGCCGGCCAGCUCUUCUUCGGCUGGCUCGGCGACAAGCUCGGCCGCAAGUCCGUCUACGGCUUCACCCUCCUCCUCAUGGUCCUCGCCUCCCUCGCCUCCGGCCUCUCCUUCGGCCACUCCGCCAAGGGCGUCAUGGCCACCCUCUGCUUCCUCCGCUUCUGGCUCGGCUUCGGCAUCGGCGGCGACUACCCCCUCUCCGCCACCAUCAUGUCCGAGUACGCCAACAAGAAAACCCGCGGCUCCUUCAUCGCCGCCGUCUUCGCCAUGCAGGGCUUCGGCAUCCUCGUCGGCGGCAUCGUCUCCCUCAUCGUGUCGGCCGCCUUCAAUGACCGCUACCACGCUCCGCCCUUCAGCCAGGACCCCGCGGGCUCCACCGUCCCGCAGGCCGACUACGUGUGGCGGAUCAUCCUCAUGUUCGGCGCCGUCCCCGCCGCGCUGACCUACUACUGGCGGAUGAAGAUGCCCGAGACCGCGCGCUACACCGCGCUCGUCGCCAGGAACGCGAAGCAGGCAGCGGCCGACAUGUCCAAAGUACUGCAGGAAGAAAUCAGGGAGGAUGACACUGAGCUUGCAGAGCAGCCGACGGUCGCCGACGACUGGGGCUUGUUCUCGCCGCAGUUCGCUCGGCGCCACGGCAUCCACCUCCUGGCGACGUCGACGACGUGGUUCUUCCUCGACAUCGCGUACUACAGCCAGAACCUAUUCCAGAAGGACAUCUUCAGCAAGGUCGGGUGGAUACCGCCGGCGGGCAGCAUGAACGCCGUCGAGGAGGUGUUCCGCAUCGCCCGCGCGCAGACGCUCAUCGCCCUCUGCGGCACCGUCCCCGGAUACUGGUUCACCGUGGCGUUCAUCGACGUGAUCGGACGGUUCUGGAUCCAGGUGAUGGGCUUCUUCAUGAUGACCGUGUUCAUGCUCGGCCUCGCGGUCCCCUACCACCACUGGACGACGCCCGGGCACCACGUCGGGUUCGUGGUCAUGUACGCGUUCACCUUCUUCUUCGCCAACUUCGGGCCGAACGCGACGACGUUCAUCGUGCCGGCCGAGGUGUUCCCGGCACGGCUGCGGUCGACCUGCCACGGGAUAUCGGCGGCGGCGGGGAAGGCGGGGGCGAUCGUCGGGGCGUUCGGGUUCCUCUAUGCGUCGCAGGGGAAGGCGCUGGCGGAGAGGGACCGCGGGUACCCGGCGGGGAUCGGGAUACGGAACACGCUGUUCGUGCUCGCGGCGUCGAACUUCCUCGGCCUCGCCUUUUCGCUGCUGGUGCCGGAGGCCAAGGGGAGGUCGCUGGAGGAGAUGUCCAAGGAGAACGAGGGGGAGGAUGAGUUUGUCAUGGAUAAAGCUCCUUAAAAGUUAAUUACGUAAUUAAAAAAAAUAAUAAUAAUUUGUGAAAUAUGUACAUGUAUUCCAUCCCUUGCCUCAAUUUGAACUUUGAAGCUUUUCUUGCAUGUGUGUGGUUUAUGAACAUUUGUUCAUUUUGCAAGUCUCUGCAGUUUCUUUUUCUUUCUCCUAAAAGGUCGAAUAUGAUAUCCUACUGCAGCUAUUUUCUUUUACCGUCUUCAAUCAUCAAAUAUUAUAAAAUUUUAUUUAAAUAUCAAAAUAAAAUUUCUAAUAAUAAUAUAUUCGGUAUAAAAAUAUUUUUGUGUGAUUAAAAAUCAGGAGUUUAAGUUUUGCCCUUGAGAUAGUUUGGCAUGUAUAAUUUGGUAGAUUUUUUUUUUUUGAGAGAGAGGUAACGUGUUACCCGCUUUAUUUAUUUUUUUAGAAAUAAAUUUAGCUGGAAAUGUGAAACAAUCAUAUUUCAAAUUUGAAAUCUCGAAUAUCAACCACCAAGUCUUUAGCCACUUGCGCUGGGGACAGAUAGCGCGCUUUCUCCAAAAAAAAAAAAAAAAAAAAAAAAAAACAGAAUGCAUAUAGUUACAAAUUUACAAUUGCUGCAUUUNAAAAAAAAAAAAAAAAAAAAAAAAAAUGAAGGCCGAAUACCAUACCAAGGAGAAGGGAAGUGGCUAGACCAGCUCAAGUUUUGGGCUAGCCAAAGGCCUAGGCCUAGCUUCUUUGGGCUAGCUCGAAUCGUACCGACACGGCCCACAUUGCAACAAAAAAGAGUUGUGAGGCCAGCGACUCAAUUUAUCAUUCUACCCUCGUCCCCUACGCCUCUCUUUGCCCUUCGCCCCCCGCGAAGCAGCGCGUCGCUCGAUCCCGCGCCCCGCGCCCGCGAUGGUGCACAGCGCGUACGACUCCGUGGAGCUCCUCCGCGGCUGCCCCGCCCGGAUCGACGCCGUCGCCUCCUACGCCUCGAAGCUCCUCCUCGGCUGCUCCGACUCCUCCCUCCGCAUCUACUCCCCCCGCUCCCUCUCCUCCUCCGACGACGCUUCGGCAUCCUCCGCCGCCGCCGCCGCCGAUGCCGCCGCCGCCGAGAUCCGCCGCGACUCCUACGCCCUCGAGCGCGCCAUCCCGGGCUUCUGGAGGCGCCCGCCCCUCGCCAUGGAGGUGUCCGCCUCCCGCGACCUCCUCCUCUCCCUCUCCGAGUGGGUCGCCCUCCACCGCCUCCCCUCCCUUGAGACCCUCGUCGCCGUCGCCAAGACCAAGGGCGCCUCCGUCUACAGCUGGGACGACCGCCGGGGCCUCCUCUGCGUCGGCCGCCAGAAGCGCGUCGCCAUCUACCGCCUCGACGGUAACGCCCCCAUCCCUCCUCCACAACCCCUCUUCUUCAGGUCUCAAUCGAGACGCGUGGUCGCAGUGUCUAAACGUUUUAUUGCAAUUGAUUCUAACAACCUUUCGAAUCGUCGUAGUGCCGACAUCCAACAAUGUAAUUGCGAAUGUUUUGGCUACAAGCUUUAUAUGCAGAGGAAAAGGGAAGAUCUUUGAUAGUUUUCUAUUCCAGAUUUCUUAUAUCCUAAUAUAAAGGUGAUUGAUAUAAUGCAAACUGAUUUAUAAGUUGAAUGGACCUGAAAAACCCCGGUUUUUAUGGCAGAAUUUCUUACAAAGGUCGUGUUUUUAUUAGUUUAGACUUAAGAAGCAGUUCUGAUCACUUGAUAUUUAUUGGUUACUUGCCUCUUCAAUGGAACAUUUUUCAGGUCGAAGAAAUGAUUCUGACUUCCUUUUGAGGUUAAAUUGGCGUAAAUAUGUAUUUAAUUUGGAAUAUCUAGAUCACUUUCCUUUAUGCCGGGCCAACAAUUCGCCUACUGGAGAUUGGGGUAUUCAGAACUGUAGGUUAAUUUAAUAAUUUACCAGCCAACAAUUCAAGAACUGAGGGGCAAUUUAACAAUCUGUCUACCGGCCAACAAUUCAAGAAGUGCGGGGCAAUUUAACAAUUCACCUACUGGGUAACAAGUCUAGAAAGAGUUACUAAAACCUGAAAUCGGAGUAAUUUCUGUGUAAAACUAUCUGAUUAAGGCAUCUAGAAGGCAGUUAUGUACUUAUAGUAUAUUUAUGUCUCUUUUUUCUUUUAGUUAUCGUUACCUGUGAGAUAUGAUGGUUCGUGCAUCAAUAGGGUUCUUACCUGGUGCUCUAUAUAUGGUCUUUCCCUUGGUCAUCGUAAUCUUUGCAACUUAAAAUGUUCUGCUUUGGUUAGGUGGUCGAGAGUUUGUGGAAGUAAAGGAGUUUAGCGUUCCUGACGUGGUUAAGUCUAUGGCUUGGUGCGGGGAGAACAUAUGUCUGGGGAUUAGAAGGGAAUACAUGAUUAUGAAUAGCUUGACUGGUUCAUUAUCCGAAGUUUUCCCUGCUGGGAGGAUAGCUCCUCCAUUGGUUGUCCCUCUUCCGUCAGGGGAGCUGCUUCUCGGAAAGGUACUUUUUUAUUUAUGCUUUUGUUUUUUUUUUCCGGGUCAUUUUCCUCCGUGGCAAUUUUAAAUUUUUAUCGCAAAUGUUCUCUUAUGAAAAAGGCAUGAUCAUCUACAUUUUUAGCAUUUAAUGUGUAACAUGGUUCUGAUUUUUUGCUUUUUUUAACUUGAUUUAGUAAUCAGUAACUUUUGCUUAUGAGAUUCAUGUAUUCUUGUUUUGUCUCUCUCAGGUAAUUUUCUUUGAUAAGGACACGCAGAUUCUAGUAUCGCUAAAUGAUGUUUCUCUAUUUUCUUUUCUCCUUGUAAUUAGCACAUGUAAACUGUAGUAUCACUAAUGUUUCUCAACACUCUAUUAUUAUCCACAAAAUUAGGAAAAUGUAGAUUCUGCAUCCUUAAUUGGUCUUCUAUUCUCCAUGUAAUCUCUUUAAGAGUAAAUUUUAUUGUGUAAUUGUUGGCUACUGGAUCAAACUCUAAGGUCUAUGUAUCAUGCUAAAAUGAUACUAUGCUAAAAUAUAGAAAAAGAGUUUAAUACUUGUUAAAUUGUUAAUCAAAUAAAAAAACCUCAUAUGGCACAUCUUAAAGCUUUACAAGUCUAUUUACAAGCAUUGUCUUAGCUGUUGUACUUUUCUAGUAGUUGUUCUAGUCCGUGCAGUGGAGUAAAUUAUUCCAUGAUAGCAAGUUCCUUCGUUGAAUAAUGCCUUCUUCCACCAUGAUCUGGAUCUUUGAGGAGUAUAGUGCAUGUUGAUUAUUGCUUUGAUUCUUUGAACUGCAUGACCUUUAAACGCUUACUUUAUAUUGCAAGUUUUCCUACUAACUAGUUGGCCUUUACUGUUUUUUUGUGAGCAUUCCUCUCUGUUUCCUUGCCUCCACUUAGGACUCAGAAAUAUGUACCAUUUAGUUCUGGGCAGAGAAAAAGUACUUUUUUUGUGGUCAUGGCAUUAAUUAACCAUAGGUUUGGAUUGCUAACCUAUUUUAACAUGUGGAGUUAGGGUAUUAAGGCAAUCCAUGCAGCUAAUAGGUGCACUUUUCAUGACCUGGCUUAACGGGAAAAAUAUCAUCACAUCAUGUGACACUCCAAUAGUCCCGCAUCGGAUGGAAAUGGGGUUGUCAUUGGGUAUAUAAGAGGACUCCACCAUAAUAAUAAUAACUGGACUUAAGCAUUUUUGGCCGGUGGUUUUGGCCCAACGAGUUAUUAUUGCUAGUAGGCCGGAUCGUUAUACAUCAUCACUCACGCUCAUUGAAUAUGAUUCGGUUACCAAUGGAAAGUAGUAUAUAAAUAUUUUAGAUUUCUUCCUUGUCAUUCUACUAGUACCUAAUGCAUUUUGGUCUUUUCAUUGGCUUGUUGAAAUUAAUCUUUUGAUUUGCUAUUUUACAGGACAACAUUGGUGUAUUUGUUGACCAAAAUGGGAAGCUUCUACAAGAUGGCAGGAUAUGUUGGUCCGAGGCUCCUGGAUCUGUUGUCAUCCAUAAACCGUAUGCUAUAGCUCGCCUACCCAGACAUGUCGAGGUGGCUCAAGCAUUUUACUUAUAGUUGAGAUAGGUACAUUAAUCCAUUGCUAUCGUUGCAUUAGAUUUAUAUGGCCUAAUGCAUAAAUUAUUGCAGGUACGGUCGCUUAAAGCUCCCAAUCAACUGGUUCAAACAAUUGUUCUCCGUGAUGUUCAUCUGCUUCUUCAAACCAACAAUUGUAUACUCGCUGCAUUAGGCAAUUCUGUUUAUGGUCUAUUGCCUGUCCCUCUUGGCGCGCAGGUAUAUCCUCUAUCACUUGAGUUUUAUUGCUUCCAUCAUUCAUUUUGUCAACACAUAUUUGUAUCAACUCUACUGUUAUAUUAUUUUUCUCGCAAUACUAGGAAGCUAAUUUAUCUAAAUAUCUGUGUGCCCAUUUUAAUGUCUUAUCUCUUAAUGUAUCCAUAUGGGAAAUGUUGUGCAAGGUAAUUCUUUGUUUGGUUUAUCAGGUUUGAUUGUCCAAUAUAGAAAAAGUGCCAUAGGUGGGAAAGAUGAGAAGAGAGGAAAAUGAAAUGGGGGGAGCAGGAGUCACUUUGGGUAGGGAAAGAUAUAGGAAAUAACCAUAUCCUUUUUAAUUAGGGAUUGCCCUACUGUGCUGAGGCCGUGGCGACAUGUGGCAUGGGAUCGUGCCGACACUGUAUCAACAAAAUAAUAAUUUUUUCUUGUUGUGGGAUCUUUUUGACUUUUUUAUGUAAAUGCUUCACAAAAGCUUUUUCAUACUUCAAAUAUAUAGAUCUUGUAAAUCUACUUACAUUUGGAGCAAUUAUGUUCCAUUGCAUAAUAAGACCAAUUUUGGUGAAAAAGUACGAAUAAGAAGAUUUUCUCCAAUUUCUUUUACCAUUUUUUAUCUAGUGGUUUUGCCUUUAGUAGUGUUGUCCUAUAAAUUUUUAUCCAGUAAUGACUUUGGUUUUGGGUUUUUGCAUAUACUUUCCUAAUAUAUAUAAAAUAAUUUUUUUAAAGAUUUUAAGAUGUUUAUUACUUUUUCUUACUAAAUUGUGUGAGAUAUAAUACAUAAAAUAUUAUUAUAUCCAUUAGAGAUAUUAAAACACUCUUAAAAAACUAAUUUUUCUUAAAAAUUUAAUAAAAAAAGCCUGAGCCAGUGAGGGCCAACAUGCCAAUGGCAUGCCACUGGCACGGGGCGCACGCCGUCAUUGGCAUGCCCAAUGCCGUUGUAUCCCAGUGCCGUUGUAUCGUGCCAUACUGUUCUGCCGGCACAGUGGCACGGGUUGUGCUAGUGGCACGACAAUCCUUUUCUUUAACUAAAACUUUUAACUAAAACUUUCAGCACUUUAAUAUCAAUUACCAAAUGAUGCCCAGGUUACUUACUAUAGGUCCUGUUACCCAUUUCAAAUGUAUACCAGGAAGGGAAUAAGGUGAAAAUAGAUAGGCCUUGAUGGUUGAUGCCAUCUCAUAGGAACAUAUCAUUCAUGGAAACUCUGCAAAGAGUCAACCUGAUUAGCAUAUACUUCUUUUUUAUGCUUGAGUGGAAUUUCUUUUCAUUCCCGAGGACUGCUGGAAAUUAAGGGCCAUUAGUUGGUUUUAUUAUUCAGAGAAUGGUCAGACUUCUAGAAUAUUUCAUUACUUGCUUCUGGACCAUUCUUUGUUGUUUUUAUGUGCCCUAAAAUACCUUUUUGAUUUGCUAUGGCUUUUUCUCUUUCUUUACUGUCUCUGGGAGUACAGAUAGUACAAUUAACUGCAUCGGGAGAUUUUGAGGAGGCCUUGGCUUUAUGCAAGCUACUUCCACCCGAGGAUUCAACUCUGCGAGCAGCGAAGGAGAGCUCAAUACACAUAAGGUGAUUUUCUCCUUCAAUGACCUACUCAUAAUAUGGUGAGCAGUCAGUUAUAGUUGAUGUUUGAGUAGUUGUCUCUUUAAUGUCUAGGCUGACCUAACUAAAUCUCCAACUAGUCUAAGUGCUGUCUCAUUCACUAAAGACGGUAAGAAUAUCUGUAUUGGAUGUAGACACUUUUAUCCUAAGUACACAGUUACAUGUAUUACAAUGUGAAUUGUGUUGGCUGAUAUAUUGCCCUAAAUAGGUCCUGUACUUAAGUUUGCUAUAUUGUAUCUGUUCAGUUGAAAUGCUUGAUUUUUGAUUUAUACGCUUAUUCUUUUUCUUAUUUUAAAGUACUUUCUAUUGAUCAUAUCAGGAAGGUGCAAGCUUAUUUUCCUUAUCAGUAUGUCCCUUUCCUUCUCGUAGUCCUUUUUCUAUCAGUUUAUUUGUUUUUAUUUUCCAGAUAUGGUCACUUCUUGUUUGACAACGGAAGCUAUGAGGAGUCGAUGGAGCAAUUUUUAGCUUCACAAGUGGAUAUCACUUAUGUUUUAUCGCUAUACCCGUCCAUUAUACUUCCCAAGACGCUUAAUAUUACCGAGGCUGAUAAGCUCCAUGACUUGACAGAUACUUCACAUCUAUCCAGAAUGUCAUCUGAUGCUUCAGAUGAGAUGGAAUCCUCCCUCCCUAUCCAACAUCAGGAAUCUGAUCUUGAAAUGAAGAAAAUGAGUCACAACUCGCUUACGGCUCUUGUAAAGUACUUGCAGAAGAGAAGAUUUAGUAUAAUUGAGAGGGCCACUGCAGAGGUAACUGAGGAGGUUGUCUCAGUUGUACAGGACAGUAUGGCCUUGUCUGAUCCACAUAGACCGAAAACAUCAAACAAGGUGACCUGAUCGUAAUUCUUCCUUAAGAGUUCUAAGUUACUUAUGGCUAUGUUUAAUUUUAUGCACUAUAAAGGAUAUUCUGCAAAAUUUCAGAGUUCAGUUUUCAACAUGGAAGUCUUACCUGAGCAUUUCCUAUUUCACUUUAUGAACCUCAUUUUGGAUCAUUCUUGUUAAGGGACAUUUGGUGUCAUCGCAGGAUAUACUAUUUGCAUAGUUUGCACUUUGCACUUUGCACUUUGCACUUUACACAUUUCAACUUCACUUUUUGUUCAAUACAGUGUUGCUUUAGGCUUCAUUUGGUAACACCUACAUUCUUUUUUCUUUACUUAAAUUCUAUGCAAAUGAAUGUGCCCGCAGAUGAUAGAUUGUUUGCAACCUAUACUCCUAUGGGUCUUGUUAGGCAUUAAAACACGAACAAUUUUGUAGCAACUUUGCCCUUUUAAUAUCUUUCUGUAAAAAGAUGGGCUUGCAAACUAAUGUACAAUAACAGAACAUAGAAGUUGAUUGAAUUGUGAACUGAAAUAUAAUUUGAGUUUUUUAAAAUAGAAAUAAGUAAGACUACGAGUCAAAUGAGAUCCGUACUUUUUAUCUUCAGUCCUGUCAUGGAAUGCAUGAUUUUUUUUUUUGUUCAUUUUAGCCUAAUUAAAAUGAAGAUACCUUAUAAGAUAAAAUAUUGUAUUGGAAGCAUUAAAGCAAAUUCCAAAUGUUUUAUGGUUGGUGAUCGAUGAGUCACAAAAUGUUACUGCAUCAUCUCUUCAAAGUCGUAAUAAAUACAUAUUCUAUAUAUUAUGUCAAAAAAAAAAAAAAAUGAACGCAAUCUUUACUAAUUAACUGAAGAUGUACUAUCUGAUAUCUGAUAAUUUAACUGUAUUUUGUAUUCCUAGAGGCACAGCCAGAUACAUAUCAGCUCAGUAGCCAGAGAGAUGGCGACUGUACUGGAUACCGCACUUCUUCAAGCCCUGCUUCUUACAGGGCAGACAUCAGGAGCACUUGAGUUACUUAAGGGCCUCAAUUAUUGUGAUUUGAAGAUAUGUGAAGAAUUUUUGAAGGAAAGGAAUUUCUAUAUAGUGUUACUGGAGCUGUACAAGAGUAACGAAUUGCACCGCGAAGCUCUUAAACUUCUGAAUCAACUGGUCGAGGAAUCAAAAUCAGGCCUUGCAAAUUCUGAGCUCAAUCAGAAGUUCAAACCAAAUAUGAUUAUCGAGUAUCUCAGGGUAUUAUUACCUUAUGCUUAGUCGCUUACUUCUUUUGGACAAAUUUAUGUUCUCUUUUAUAUGUAACUUGCCAUUUUCCCCUGAUGUUAACUAGCAAUUGUAUGGCGACUUUGCUCUAAUUGAGAGCUUUUAUUAUAACAGUGCAAGUUUCAAACUAAGGGGUCGUACUAGAUGCCAGUAAGCACUUUUAACUACUCUGAUAAUUAUACCUAUGUGCAAGAAGUAUUGAAAAUACAGGAUCUAAACUUACGAAAAGGAGUAAUUCAUAUUUAUGUUUCAUAAUUCACCAGAUCAACACAGCUGCUUCCAUUUAGUUUGAUAAGUUUUGUUAAACUAAUGGUGAACACUCAAAAGGAUUUGUAUACAACAUUGCUUUUUGAAGAACUUGUUGGAUUGCAUCACUUGGAUUUUGAAUUCAGGCUGUGUACUUGUACUGCUGUCUAAACAAUUUGAGCAUAUCUCGGCAAAACUUUCUGGUACUUUGCAAAACUUUGAAUAGCCAAGAACUUAUCCCUGGUGCUGUAUCUAGCUGUCAUACUAAAUCAUUGUCCUUUAUGAAACAUGAUUCCCUUCUACUGACUUUUCUGAUUAUAUUUGCAGCCUCUUUGUAGGACCGAUCCUAUGCUUGUUUUAGAAUCCUCCUUGACUGUUCUUGAGAGCUGCCCAACAGAAACGAUUGAACUUUUCCUGUCUGAAAAUGUUCCAGCAGACUUGGUAAAUUCAUAUUUGAAGCAGCAUGCACCAAAUUUGCAGUCUACAUAUCUAGAGCUUAUGCUUUCAAUGAGUGAAAAUGGGAUCAAUCCUAACCUGCAAAAUGAACUGGUAUUUGCGUCCUUUUCAUUCUGUCUUUUAUUGUGAUAAAUUAUAGUUUGUUUGAGCUGUUAAGAUAUUCCUUUUUUACUGAAACUUGUUACCAGGUGCAAAUAUACCUUUCAGAAGUACUCGAUUGGUACCAGGAUCUCAAGGACGAACAAAAAUGGGACGAGAAAACUUACUCUCAAACCCGUAAGAAGUUAAUAUCUGCAUUAGAGGGUAUUUCGGGUUAUAAUGCUGAGGUCCUGUUAAAGUGUCUCCCACAAGAUGCACUCUUUGAGGAGCGCGCGAUACUACUUGGAAAAUUAAAUCAACACCAUCUUGCUUUAUCUUUGUAUGUUCACAAGGUAACAUCUAUGGGGACGAACAAUCAGUUCUUUCUGCUGUGCUUUUCUCAUUUGGGUGAAAAUCUUGUUCACAGGCUUCCAGCUCUGUUUGGAGGUUUUCUUUUUUGAAGUUAUAUGUUUCUAAAGACUUCUUGUUAGUUGUGAUUAGUGCAUUUAAAACUCUAAUGCUAUGUCCGCUGUAAUAACUACUCCUUGGUGAAUUAUGCAGCUGCAUUUAUCAGAGCUAGCGGUAGCAUACUGCGAUCGUGUUUACGAAGCAGGAUCAUCACAGCCUCCAAAAUCAAAUGUGAACAUCUAUCUUAUGCUACUACAGAUUUACUUAAAUCCACAAAAGACAAAAAAAGAAUUUGAAAGAAGAACUAUUUCGGUACCUUCCCAAAGCCCUAUAACCCAAAAGGUUGGUUAUACUAAAUUCAAAGGGAGCCGCAAUUCUAAGAAAAUUGUGGAGAUUGAGGGUGCUGAUGACAUGCGCAUUAGCCUCAGCAGCACUGAUAGUGGACGAAGUGAUGGUGAUGGAGAUGAAUAUGCUGAAGGAGGAGGUUCUGCAAUGUUGAAUGAGACACUUGAAUUGUUGAGCCAGCGAUGGGAUAGGAUAAAUGGUGCACAGGCUCUAAAACUAUUACCCAGAGAAACAAAGCUCCAGGUAUGGAUUUAUUUGUUCAAGAAAAUUUUUUUUUCAAUUUUUUUUAUGUAAGAGGAAGUUCAAAUAAUUGAAAACUCUGAACCCCAAUGAAUUUACUAUUUCCUAGUAUGCUUUUUUGGCAGAAUUUGCUUUCUUUCCUUGAACCACUUCUCAAGAAAUCUAGCGAACAUCGGCGGAAUUAUGCAGUUAUUAAGAACUUGAUAUUCAGGGCGCAUUUGCAGGUUAACUCUAUUUGCUUUGUCUUCUUUGUCGUUAUGCUGUUGUAUCAAAAAGCUGGUUUGGAGACUUUGCAACAGAAAGGAGCAUUUUGUGUUUAGAUUAUUUCUUAUCUUGGAAAUACAAUGUUUCAUGAGAAUGUUUAGUCUCCAAUCCCCUAUAAGCCCAGGUUGAUGAUAAAUGAAAUUUCUAACUGCUCAAGUCUACUGACAUCGUGCAUUAGGUAAAGGAAGAUCUUAGUAAAUCCCGACAAACAGUUGUGAAGAUUGAUGGAGAGAGCACCUGUUCUCUGUGCCGUAAGCGGAUAGGUAACAGUGCUUUUGCUGUUUAUCCAAAUGGAAAGACACUUGUGCAUUUUGUCUGCUUUAGAGACUCGCAGCGCAUCAAGGCUGUCCGAGGUGCACCCCCAGUCAAGCGCCUGUAGUUUGCUCCUAACGUGAAGUAUGAUUAAUCUCUUUACUUUUGACAAUAGUUCAUACUUAUUAAAGGAAAUAUUAUAUUUUCGUUGUUGCUUUCUUUUGCUCUGAAAGUAAACAAUUGUAAUACCUUGCAUUAAUCAAAUUUGUGAAAUCACAGAUGCCGAGAAAUAUUAAUUUGUAGUCCAGAUUUGAUGUUAAAAGAAUCCAUGCGGUCCUGAAAAUAGUUGAAACUUUGGCAUAUGGAAGGUCAGUUUGCUAAUGCAUUUCUAUGAUCCUGUGACUGUUAAAUUUCUUAUGCUUUGACAAAAAUGUGGAGGCUUAUUUGCAUUGCACCUAAGAGGUGAGAUGAUUUUUCUUAUUCUGAGAUAUGACUUUUAAGUCGUUUAGACUAUGCCAUUUGAGACUUUCUAAUCAUACUUGUUAAAUUAAAUGAAACAACCGUUUUUCUGUAAAGGCUUAAGCUACCAGAGAACAUUAUUUUUUAUAUUUAUAUUUUUCAACUAAGGCUUUAAAUUCAAUAAACUUAUCAAAAACUUCAUACUUAAAUUUUAAAAGAUAAUUCAAGAAUAAUGAGUGAAAUCAUUCACAAAGAGAACAUAAUAUUUAUAACUAGAAACCGAGUAAAUAAGAGAUUGCCGAACAUCAGAGUGAAUAAGUUGAAAUGGAAAAUCAGAAUGCGAAUCUGAUUUAUUAAAAGGAAGUUUCACAUGUUUUUCCAACAUUACAUGCAUUGUACUGAGAAGCCUUAAUGUCCAAAGUUCUUUAAGUUUUAUUUUUCUUGACAAACUUAGACAAAAUUUUAAAACUAAGGUGACCUAACCUCCUAUGCCAAAUAUCACCAUUAUUAAUUUUUGAGGCAACUAAAGUACUCGUAGGUUUAUUUCCUACUCUUGCAACUUUGGAAGAUAGUGGGUAGAGUGUUGUUCCUGAACUAGGGGUGGCAAUCCAGCUCGCUGUUCGCGAGCCUCGAAAUAAGCUUGAGAUCGAAUCGCUCGUUUAGUAAACGAGCUGAACACGAGCUCGUUUAGUAACGUUCGUGUUCGGCUCGAUAAUAGUUCGAAUACAUAUAUUUUAUAUUUAUAUAUAAAUAAAUAAUUAUAUAUAUACAAUACGGAUUUUUAUUUUUUGANCGUUCGUGUUCGGCUCGAUAAUAGUUCGAAUACAUAUAUUUUAUAUUUAUAUAUAAAUAAAUAAUUAUAUAUAUACAAUACGGAUUUUUAUUUUUUGAUUUUUAGCCCAACUUGAAUAUAAAGCCCAACUCAAUUAUAAAAAGGUCCAUUUAUGUGUAAAGUUUCAACCAUUAGAUCAAAGCCUAAUCGGUAAGAUCUCGAAAAUUUAUAUCCUAUAUAUAUCAUUUCUAAUCUUUUAACUUGUUGUUAUUAAUGAGCCAAACAUGAGCUGAAUUUUUCGGCUCGAUAUUUUAAUGAGCCAGCUUGAGAUUAGCUCGUUUAUGAAACGAGCCGAACACGAGCCGGCCCCAGCUCGCUCGUGUUCGGCUCGUUGACAACCCUAUCCUGAACUACGACAUUGGUGGUGCUCCUUUCUUGUUUCGUUGUCCUUUACACCAGAAACAACAAAAUCAAAUUCAAAAGAAGAGUUAUUAUCAUGAUAGAAUUUGCGAAUAGAGAGCAAAUUUCUUUUAAUAGCAGGAACAAUACGGACAUUCUUAAGGUUAAAGGAUUCAGGAGUACUUAAAGUUGUUUCGCCCUUAUGAGUUAUAGAGAGUAGACCUUUACCAACAAAAAUUUUAUCUGUUCCUAAAUAAGGUGUAGAUUUAAAAACUACACCUGAGUCUGAUAUCAUGUAAUUCGAUGCUCCAGUAUCAGGAUGCCACACCUCCUCUGAAGAGUCAUGGAGAUUCAUAGUAGCAAGAUUUGCCGUAUAUCAUCCGCAACAAAGGCAUUGGUUGAACCUCUGCCUUCACUGGACCGCAGUGUGGUUGAACUUGCCACAUAUUUGGCACUGGGUUUCACUGCGAGGCAUCAUUGGUCCAGGCUGUUGCUGAGGUUGUGGAUGAGGUAUAGGUAGGUAAUAUUGAUGUUGUUGGGAGGGAACUGCUUCAUAUUGUCCCUAUCCAGACUCUGGGUUACACCCUCCUCGCUGCUGCCCUCGACCUCUUGAUCUACUGGUCCGGCCUCCCCAGUUUUCUCUUCCAUGAUUUGCAUCUAGAUUCUGUAGGAGUUGUAUGUUGAAUAGAAAUAUUAAAACAUCAUUCUCUGGCAGCUGAAACUUUAGAGAGAAAUAGUUGUUUUAUUUAAUUUAACAUGGUAGCAGAGUAAAAGGUCUUGAGUUCGAAUCACGUUAGACUUCUAGCGUUAUUCAAUUUCCUCCCAUUUAAUUUAGUUCAUGUCUUGGGCCUAUCAAGAAGUUUUGAUCCUAGACGUGAGGAGUCUUGAAUAUAAAUGUUAAAAACACUGUUCUCUAAUAGUUUAAGCUUUUGGAGAAAAAUGAUUGUUUCAUUUAAUUUAACAACUCAUUUACCAAUGUUGCAAGGCCCUUUGGCAAACAAAAGAGAUGUCCUAGAGAAGACUUGAUGCUUUAGUACACUUUAGGGAUUUGUCUGGUACUUAAGUAAUCCAUAGAGCAAUUCUGUGCCUUGAUGACUAAAGUUCAAUCUUGCCUUCAUUGUUGUAACUUUUAUCAUUUGUAAUUUUCGAGUAGGAGUUUGUUCGGAGAGAUAUGCUGAAAUAUCUCGGUCUUUGCAGCUGAGAUGAAGAAGAAUAAAUUCACAGUAGUAUAGGUAGAAUUUGUCAUGGAGAUUGGAGCGAACAAAUGGGUGUACUCUCAAGUUGGCUUUUUUUUUUUUUACUGGGUCCAUGUGAGCUGAAUUUGGUCGAGUUUCAAAUUUGAACCUUUAAAGGAGUUAUUACAAAUUUGAAAAUAGUUGUUAAUGUUUUUGCAAAUGCGUGAUUCCCUGACGGUUGCCUCUUAUAGAUAUGUAUCUAUUUUGAACUAUUCUUCUUUGCAUUUGGUUAACUGUAGCAUGCCCUUCACAAACAUGAUUAUCAUGUUCUGAUUUAUUUUAUUUUAUUUUUUUUCCUGAACUUAUGUUUUUGUAGUUUCACCUGCAAAAGACUUCUUUUUUUUUUUCUUUUCCUAAAUGAAUGAGACAAUGAAAAUUGAUUCAUUUUCCCAGAAAUUUGCUUACAUUUUCUUUCAAAAACAGGUGACAGGGUUCAGGGUGUGCGUACCGUUCUUUACAAAUUCAGCCAGUGGGUGAGCUUUUCUUCAUGGCCGGCCGUGAGCUAACAGUGACAUGUACAAAUACAAACUCGUGUUAAAUUAUUUGUAUAAGAGUCCAUGCGAUCGCUACUAUCUGCUAUUCAUGGCGGUAUUCUUGUUCGGCUGCUGUGAUGUCAAUGCACAAGAAGACCUGUCUACACGUAGGCUAAAUUGCUGAUGUCUUCUCGCUAUGAUCGCAGUUUCAGUGAAGUUCUUAUGUUGUUGUGUUUACUACUAUUAUGGGAAUAAAUGAGUUCAAAGGCGCAAGCGGAAGGGUUGCACUCAUUAUCAUGACAUCUUUGCAGAGUUCACAGUUUUUGUAAUUUGAUGUUAACUAGAUUAUGUGCUGUGACAUUUCUUCUUCUUUUUUUACCCCUCUGUUGUGAGCUUGGUGUGUAGCUAAGAGGGAGAAUGUAAGCCAAUAUUUUCUCAUGAAUGUUUGUUUGCAAACUGCUUGUGUCAUUUAUCAGUUCUCCUUGAGAAGGAAAUAAUAAAGUUUGAUUAUUUAUUGGGUUGGAGGAAAUUUUGUUUUGAUUUUGUUGUACUCUCUUUUUUUCCCCUUAUUUCUUUGUUGAAUAUAGGUAAAACAUUUGUGACUGCAAAUCUGCAGUAAAUUUUAUCCCUAUGGGACAAUCGAAAAUGCAAUGUUUUUUCCCCCCUUCACUCCCCAAUUUCCUCAUUCUUUUCUCUGCUUUUUUUUUUUUUUUUUUAAUUGCUUCCAUUUAUUCCCUCUCUCUGUACCUUCAUUCCUCUGUUCCAAUUGGACUUGAGAUUAGUAAGAAUGAAAACAUUAGUUAUGCUCAGAACAGAGUCUAAGUUUGGACUCUAUUCUUUGUAAAAAUAACCUUUCUUUGUGGGGAGGUUUGUGACUUAUGAAGCUCUACUCAUUCAAAUACACUUGAGAUGUUACCGGAGAAAAGUUAAAGAAACAUUUAACCUCAUAGAUUUCAACCUAAUGUUAAUCAAGUCCUAAGUUAUAUUUAAUAUUUUUAGAUUGUUGAUUGAUUUAGAAUUGAUGAAUUUAAGUAUCAAAAGCUACGGGGCCUGCUUGACUUUAAGGCUUAGUUUGAUAUUGAAGCCUAUCUAACGCUAUUAGAUAAAAUCGAGUUGUGGAAAAAGCAUAUAGGGAUAUGCUUCUGCGUUCUUCGAUGGGACCGUAGAAAAUAUAUUGUAACCGACUUAUCGCGAUAUGCGGAACGCAAUAUUACGUACGGAAACAAACAGGGUAUUUUUCCAACGUACUUUCUCACCGCACGUAACGCAAUCUCCCCGCAAUCCCUAACGAAGCCUAAGUCUUCUACUAAGGAUGUAGUAGUGUUUGACGAAGCAGUCUAAUAGUCUUUUAGAAGAAAACACUAUUUUAUAACCAACAACAAUUAAUUGAUGUAGUUUUAGCAGUGAAAAAUAAAUUUAUUAAAUCUGAUCAUUAUUCGCAUAUUGAAUCUGACUAGAGGAAGUAAUUUUCAGACUUAGUAUAAUUUUUUUUUUUUUUUUGAGAGAUAGAUAGAACGCUACCCACUUCGUUUAUUUCAUUUAGAAAUUAACUUAGCUGGAAAUGUGAAUCAACUAGGAUUCGAACUUGGGACCUCGGAUACCAACCACCAAAUUCUUUGCCACUUGUUCUAGGGAUGGUUGGUAGGCUUAGUAUAAAAUUAAAUAGAGAAAUGGUUUGGGUACCUCACUUUUGGACAACCCAUUAUAUUGUUGAUGUGUUGGGCUCUCCAUAUGGAGUGGUUAGGGUUUAGGAUUUAGUAUAUAAUAAUAAUAAUAAUAAUAAUAAUAAUAACACUUAGGGUUCGGGUUCGAUUCCAAGCGUAAUUGAUCCCUGAACCAAAAUGCACUAUGAGGCUUCUCUACCUUCUUUGUUUCAACAAAUGGACCACAAAUAGAGUCCCCUGUAUACACCAUGUGAAUGAGAAUCCAACUGAAUCUUAUUGCCUUUGCAAAGGAAGAUACAGUUUGAGCCCCAAAAAGAUGAGCAUUUGCCACUAUGAGACUCUUCCAACCUAACCAUAUCAGAAAGUGCCGCAACUAUUCAUCUCACUUACCGACCAUUUCUAGAGCAAGUGACAAAAGACUUGAUAGUUGGUACCCGAGACCCAAGUUCGUGAAAGGCAUGAUCAUUUUCGCUUUGAUGAAAUCCAAAGGAAAGAAUAGCAGACUGAAAUUUUUCAAACCAAGCUCGGGGAGCUUGUUUAAGGCCAUAUAAAGCCUUCCGUAGCCGGCAAACAUGACCAGAUGAAUGGGAAAGACCAGGAGGUGGUUGCAUAUAAACUUCUUCAUGAAGAUCCCCAUGUAAGAAGGCAUUUUUGACAUCAAGUUGAUAAAGAGGCCAGCUACGAGAGGCAGCAAGAGCGAUAAGGAUGCGAACAGAGGUCAUCUUAGCAACAGGGGCGAAUGUCUCCUCAUAAUCAAUGCCAUAUUCUUGAGAGAACCCUCGAGCAACUAAACGGGCUUUAUAGCGAUCAAUUGAGCCAUCAGAAUUUGUCUUGACUUUAUAAAUCCACUUACAACUUAUUGGAGUCUUGCCNUCCUAGUUGAUUUACAUUUCCAGCUAAGUUUAUAUCUAAAUAAAAUAAACGAAGCGGGUAGCGUGCUACUUAUUUCUCAAAAAAAAAAAAAAAAAAAAAACACUAUUCAUCUCACUUAAUUAUCUCUCCAUGUAGUAACAUCUCUCUUUCCAUUGGGUCCAAUUAUUUCUUCUUGGUGAAAAGCAUGGCUCACAAUGUUAGAAACGUAUCAUGUUUUCUGCUUGCUGUUGAAAUGAGAAAGGGCACUUGUACAGAAGUGGCUAUGGACCCCCUGAACAUUUUAAAAGUUACGCGCGAAUCGCUAACUAUUUACGUAUAGUGAAUUGGUUAUGCUUGUGCUAAUUCUUUCAGUUUCAAUCGCAACUACUGAAUCAAAUUUAAACUAAGAUAGUAGAUGGAAAUUGAGAAUUCUCAUUGGAUUCAGUUUUUGCUUAGAAAUAGCUAGCUGUUGUUAUUUUAUUUCUUUUUUUUGAGAGAGAAAGAUAGCAUACUAUCUGUUUCGUUUAUUUUUUUCUUAAUAAAUAAACUUAGCUGGAAAUGUGAAUCAAUUAGAAUUCGAACUUGAAAUCUCGGAUACCAACUGCGAAACUCUUUGCUACUUGCAUUAGAGACGGUUCGGAAUAAUUUUGUCUAUCUUUCAUUCCAGUUAUCAAGUAAUUUUUUUUUCCACCACAAUUAGAAAGAUGUUAUAAAUAAGAAAAGAAAAAUUAAAAGCAGCUUUCUACCUCAGAACAAACAAUUUUGGGAAAAAAUUAAUAUAAAUAUAUCUAAAUUACAUUGCGAUUGACUUUAACAUGCAUUUGAGUCUUUUUGUGUUUUUGAAACAAAAAAUGUGCUCACUUUGAGAUAUAAAAGUGCAUAGUGUAAGUUGUAAUGGAGGACACAGUGUUCUAGAAUGUGUCAGAACCUAACUUGGGUGAUCCACAUUAUGUGAGCUCAUGAGCGGCGUCCAAUUUAUUAUUCACAUAAAUUUAAAAUUCGUGUCAUUUAUGUGAUGAGCGUCAAAUACAACGGUUCACAUGUUAGGCCCGGUCUCUACCAAAUUUUUGUUCUCACUUCAUCAUCAUAAAAAAAAAAAAAAAAAAAGGUCAUCUUUGAGAUCCAAUUUCCAAAUGCAUGCAGUGUCUAAAAUUUAAAAGUUUUUUUUUAAAAUUUUUAUUUUUCUGUUUUAACAUUAUAAAAUGAUGGUAAAAGUUAGUGACAACUUAGCUUGUGGUAUAGUUUUGAUUCAACAUAUCAUCCAACCGGAGGAUAAAGAAUUGUUAGAACAAAAGCGAAAAAGAUCUAAUUCAUAGGGUGCAAAAAUAUCAAAAAAGAAUCAUGAAUGAGAGAAGAAAAAUAAAACACAUAAUAUUUACGUAAUUCGACCGCUAGCCUACAUUUACUGACGAAGAUAUAGAAGAGAUCUUCAUUAUAAUUAAUGUGGUAUACAAAAUAUGUCUUUUUUUACAAAAUUCUAGUCCUAAAAUAUAUAUUCAUAUUCUUUCUCAUCUGCGACAUCAAAUUAAUAAAAUAAAAGUAUAUUUCUAAUAAUAGCUAAAUUCUAGUAUACUUACAAAUACAAAUUUAAUAAUAUAAUUUAAAAUAGAAUAAAAUUUUAGAGUUCUAGAAUUCCGUACAUAACUAACAAGAAUCCGUUACAGCCCCUGCUCAUUCUCCUCUGUUUCAUUCAUUCAUCAACUCAUGCAUCAAACGCUCCCUCUAUCAAAACAUGCAUCACUCGGAACUCCUCUUUAAUUAGAUGGAUAAAGAAAGAAGAAAAACAACAGGAACAACAAUUGAGCAUGCAUCUAAUUAAUUGAUUUCUUUUUUAAAAUUAAGGUAUUUAAUUAAUUAAUUACUUUAAACAGGCACAGUCUUGGAUGUGUCCUCCUCUGGCUGGUGCUCAUGCUCAUCAUCCUCAUGCUCGCCAGACAGCUCCUCCAGCGACUUCCCCUUCGCCUCCGGCACCAGAAAAGUGAAGAGCAGCCCCAGCAGGUUGCAGCCGGCGAGCGCGAACAGCGAGUUCCGCACGCCGAUCCCCUGCGCCGCGUAGAGGAACCCGAACGAGCCCACGAUCGCCCCCGCCUUCCCCGCCGCCGCCGAUAUCCCGUGGCACGUCGACCGCAGCCGCGCCGGGAAUAUCUCCGCCGGCACGACGAACGUCGUCGCGUUCGGCCCGAAGUUGGCGAAGAAGAAGGUGAACGCGUACAUGACCACGAACCCGACGUGGUUCCCGGGCGUCGUCCAGUGGCGGUAGGGGAUCGCCAGCCCCAGCAUGAACACGGUCAUCAUGAAGAACCCGGCGAGCUGGAUCGCGAACCUGCCGAUCACGUCGAUGAACGCCACGGUGAACCAGUACCCGGGGACGGUGCCGCACAGCGCGAUGAGCGUCUGCGCGCGGGCGAUGCGGAACACCUCCUCCGUCGCGCUCAUCGUCCGCGCCUUCGGUAUCCAGUUGAUCGCGCUGAAGAUGUCCUUCUGGAACAAGUUCUGGCUGUAGAACGCCACGUCCAGCGCGAACCAGCAGACCGCCGUGCCCACCAGCUGCCGCCCGUGCCGCCGCGCAAACUCCUUCGAGAACAACCCGAAGCCGACUCGGCGACUCACCGAGCGAUCACGCGGUUUAUUGUUAUUAUUAUUAUCUUCUUCUACGUCGGUGGCGGCAGUGAUGAUGUCGACGUUCAGCACCUUGGACAUGUCGGCGGCGGCCAGCUUGGAGUUCCUGGCGACGAGCGCGGUGUAUCGCGCGGUCUCGGGCAUCUUCGUCCGCCAGUAGUAGGUCAGCAGGGCGGGGACGGCGCCGAACAUGAGGAUGAUACGCCACACGUAGUCGGCCUGCGGGACGGUGGAGCGCGAGGGGUCGUCGUCGUAGGCGGGGGCGCGGAAGCGGGCGUCGAAGGCGGCGGAGACGGCGAGGGUGACGACGCCGCCGCAGAGGAUGCCGAAGCCCUGCAUGGCGAAGACGGCGGCGAUGAAGGAGCCGCGGGUGCGCUUGUUGGCGUACUCGGACAUGAUGGUGGCGGAGAGGGGGUAGUCGCCGCCGAUGCCGAAGCCGAGCCAGAAGCGGAAGAAGCAGAGGGUGGCCAUGACGGCGUCGGCGGCGGGGCCGAAGGAGAGGCCGGAGGCGAGGGAGGAGACGACCAUCAUGAUGAGGGUGAAGCCGUAGACGGACUUGCGGCCCAUCUUGUCGCCGAGCCAGCCGAAGAAGGCGACGCCAUUGACGGCGGCGGCGACGUUGGGGGGGAGGAUGCCGGGGGCCGGGAGCCUGGGGCGUAGUAGUAGAUGCGGCCGAGGAGCUUGGUGACGAGGGAGAUGCAGAAGAGGUCGUAGGCGUCGGUGAAGAACCCCAUGCCGGCGACCACGAUCGCCGUGAAGUGGUACCACUGCGUCUUCGCCGCGUCCAGCGCGUUCAGCACCUGCAGCUUCUUCUCCUGCGCCAUCCCCCCGCCGCUGCCACUGCCGCCGCCGCUGCUGCUUCUUCUUUUCCUUCCUUCCUUCCUUAGUGACUAAUGAUCAAUUUAUGAUCUUCUUUUGAUGACUGCUGCUGAAUUCCUGAAUUCCUGAAUUCCUGAAGAAGCUGCUGUCUGUAAAGGGGAGAAGAAACAGAGAGAAAGAAGAAGAGCUGUGAGACAAGAUUCUGAUUUAAGAAAGCAAUAAAUAUAUAUAUAUAUAUAUAUAUAUAUAUAUAUAUAUAUAUAUAUAUAUAUAUAUAUAAAAAUUGAACGCGGAUACUUUGAAAAGCACUAAGAGUGGUGUUUUUAAAUUUGUAAUCUUUAGGGUGGAGUUGUUGCAAACUAGAAUGAUAGAAACCAUUUAAAAUUUAGUUGAUGAUAAUGAAAUAAUGUUUGAUUUAAAAGAGCUGGAAAUGGUCAAAAGGUACUCCAAUAGUAAAAAAUCUAAAAAAAUCAGAAUUUUGUGUUUUUAAUAUAUUCUAGCUUAACUCUCUCCCUCUCCCCCUUUCUUUCUUUCUCUCUCUCUCUCUAUAUAUACUAUAUUGUAAAACAAAAAUAUUUUUGAUAGUAAAAAAAAUAGUGUUUGCUAUUAUUAUUUUUUUCCCAUUGAAUGUGUAGGAUGUAAACAUCUUUCAAAUUUUUUCUUUGUACACUCAAUCAUAUUUUUUAUAUUUAUUAUUUAUUUUAUUAUAUUUAUAUAAUUAAAAUAUGAUUAUUUAUUAUAUUAUUUUUAAAAUAUAUUCUAUCGCAUUGGUACUUUUAAUAACGAAAGAUUCGACUACAGAAAAUAAAAGAUCGAAAACCGAAUUUCUUUUUUCAAAAAGAAAUGCAUUGGGCCCUUUAUUGUGUGUUCCUCACUAUAUUGUGGAUGUGUUAGACAACAAAAUAAAUUUUUACGUGAAACUGAAUAGAAAUUAAAGAAAAAAAACCAAAAUAGUUUACUUUAAAUUAUAGAAAAAUUACUAUAUCAUAUGGAAGCUUUUGAAAAUUUACUUUUAAAACGUGAAGAUGAUUAUAAAAAUGUUGCCUUUCUUUUUAUAAGUCAGGACAAAUUUGUUGACCACAGUAGUAGUCGAAGCAAUGUUGAUGACUAAUUUGAAGAAUAAAAAAAAAAAACAAAAAGCUUUUACUUGGCUCUAUAUCGUGACACGACAACAUCAUGCUCCACUUUAAUUACACUGUACCUCAAACUUUUUCUUCCGCAAAUUUUAAUUUAUUAUACUUUUUAGUUCGAGUUUAAAGAAUUAUAAUUAAGUUUCAUAAUUUAAUUUAAUUGACUGAAUAUUAAUAUAUUAUUAAUAUAAAAGUAAUGUGGUACCUCAAUAUUUAAUGAGCUAAGUUUGGUUUGUGAAUUUGAUUAUAAUAAUAUAAAAAUUUGAGCGAAAACUUAUAAUAAAUUAAUAAAUUAAAAUAUGAGAACCGAGUGUCACAAGCCUUAUGUAACUUAGCUAAAUAUUAAUAUUAAAAGCUUAAAAAGUUUUUGAAAAAAAUGUAAGUAAUUAAAGAGACCAGCAACUUCUAGAGGAGUGAGUCAGCGAAUCCAAAAUUCUAAAUGGGUAAGUUGGAAGCUAAGAUGAGUGGGAAAAGCUAUGCAAGAUUAUAUAAUUAGUUAAUUACAAAGUUAAAAUAAUAAUAAUAAUAAAAAUGGUAGAUUUGGUAAUUAAAUUCGCGCUGAUAAGUUAAUACGCAGAUUAUCUGAGCGAAGAAAGAGAGUGUUAGACGUAAUUAAAAUUAUUCUAUGGUUACGUAUUUGGGUCAAAUAAUCAAAUGUAAAUAAACUAAUAUAAUGACAUAAAUAUAUAAUGCGUAAAACAUACCGACAAUAUAUAUAUAUAUAUAUAUAUAUAUAUAUAUAUAUAUAUAUAUAUAUAUAUAUAUAUAUAUAUAGAGAGAUGGNGGUAAAACAUACCGACAAAAUAUAUAUAUAGAUUAUUUCGCAUGAUUAUUUUUACUUAAAUUAAUAUUUAAUUGUACAUAAUUAGGGGCCGUUUGGCUAGACGCAGUUGCAGAAAAAGUAUAAUUGAAAGUAUAUGCAGUUAUAAAUACUGCAGUCGUAACUACACCAGACUGUUUGGUUUUAUACAGUUGCAAUGGCUGCCGUUAUAUUUUUUCUAUUUGGUAUACUUCAGUUGAGAUUUGUAUUUGUAAAUCCGGUCACUUUUAGAUAGAAAGGUAAAAUUAUCUCUUUUAAAUAUAACAUAAUUAUGAGAUCUUUUAAUUAUUAAUUAAGAUUUUUAUAUCUAUAUAUAAUUUACAUAUUAUAAAAUUAUGUAUGAAUUUAAUGAAUUUUAAAUGAAAAUAUAGGGAAAACUUCAAAAAUCCCCCUUGUGGUUUUAAUUUUUUUCACUUUAGUACCCUGUGGUUUAAAAUGUAUCAAGUUAGUACCUUGUGGUUUCUCACUUUAUCACUUUAGUACCCUGUGGUUUAAAGUGUAUCAAGUUAGUACCCUGUGGUUUUGUAUUUUAUCACUUUAGUACUCUGUGGUUUUGAUUUUGUAUCAAAUUAGUACCCUGUGGUUUUUUAAACUAUAGGGUACUAAAGUGAUAAAGUGUGAAACCACAGGGUACUAAAGUGAUAAAGUACAAAACCACAGGGUACUAAUUUGAUACACUUUAAACCACAGGGUACUAAAGUGAUAAAGUGGGAAACCACAGGGUACUAACUUGAUACACUUUAAACCACAGGAUACUAAAAUGAAAAAGUGUGAAACCACAUAGGGGGUUUUUGAAGUUUUCCCGAAAAUAUAUUAUAAAUUUGAUCAAAAUAAAAAUUAAGAUAUUAUUGAAUGAGUAUAUUGGGAAAAAUAGAAGCGUAUGAAAAAAAUUUAUUGGACCACAGCAGACAUUAUUGAACCUUAGCAGCUUUCGUGAAUAGGUAUUCUUGGGGGAAAAAAAAAGUAAAAAAAAAAAGCCUAUGAAAAAAAAAAUCACACUAUUUUCUCUUAAUAGGUGAGCUGAUUUCGGCAACUGCAGCAGUUGGACUUUUUCAUACCGAUACAACUAUAGCAGUUGAGCCUAAUUAUAUAAAAUUAAAUAAAAAUUUAAUAGAUGCAUGCAUUUUUAACUGCACUGCAGGUGGAAAUGCAUGCAACCAAACAACUCCUUAUUACUGUAUAAAAAUUUCUGCUAUAUACAAAUUUAAAAAUAGAAUUUGAGUUCAAGUGUUACAGUUGGAACUGUAUAUAUAGCAUUGCUAGUAAUAACAAUUAAUCAAAUUAUCUUACCUGCUACUCUCUUUCUUGCAUUCAAGAAAUGUAGAACAUUAAACCCAGGAGCUGCAAAAGAGAGAGAGAGAGAGAGAAUGAUAAGUUGAGAAGAGAGAGAAAAUGUUAAGGGAAAGUUAGGGGAGAAGGUGUAGAGUUAGAGGCGGUAUUUAUAGUGGCGGAGCAUAACGGAAUCUGUAUACGGAAUAUUACUGCGCCGUCAUUUUCGUCGGGGUCCGUCGGUCAACGCUGGUUGACGGCGUAGCAUGUAACGUACUAUGCGGGCGUGGCGCCCACACGACGCGCCACCUCAAACGCGCGCAAUUGUUCCGUUCCCACGAGCAUUAUUUGUUUCAAACCAAAUUAUCGAACUAAACAAAUUUAUAUUUUAUAUCAACCGUCCCUGUAACAAGUGGUAAAAAAUUUGAUAAUUGAAACUCAAAAUUUUAAAUUUGAAUCUUGAUUCAUAUUUUCAGUUAAGUUUAUUUUUAAAUAAAAUAAACGAAACGGAUAGCGUGCUAUCUAUUUCUCAAAAAAAAAAUAUUAAUAUAUUUAAAAAGUAUGAGUUAGAUCCUAUGUUUUUGAAAGUACGGCGACCUCCGUACUUGUAAAUUAUUUUUGAUGAUGCGACGUUCGAUUCGGAGAUCGAUUCAAUUAGACAUGAUUUAUGCUAUUAAAACUAUCUAGAAAUCAAAUUUCAUAAUUAUUUUAUUUUAUUUGGCUAGUAAAUGAGAGUAGUUUUAGAAUGAACGACUGAAAAUAAAAAUUUCAUAAAAAACUGAAACUUUAAAUCAGAAAUAUUAAUUCCACUAUUGAUAUUAAGUAAAAUUUUUUAUUAAAGUUUCAUAUAAUUUUGAUUGUUCUACGCCGUUGAACUUAAAAAUAUACCAUAUUGACUGUUAAAAUAGUUAUUUUUGAGAUCUUUUUGAUCACUUAGUAAACUAUAUCAAAAAAUUAUGAAAUUUGGUUAAUAGAUAAUUCCAAUAGCGUAGAUUAUGCCUAACGGAGCUGAUCGUCAAAUCAAAUAUUUUAUCAUCGAAAACAACUUACAAAUAUGGAGACCUCCGUACUUUCAAAAACACAAGAGACAUACUCUAACAAGUAUUAUUAUAAUUAUAAAAAAUUAGUUUUUAAAAAAAUUAUUAUAAAUUAUGCGAUGAAUAAUUCACCGCUUAAAUUUAAUUUUAUAAUCAGCUCGUACUCGACGUAGGAGGAUCGGAUUGCGACGAGACUUAGAUUCGUUGGAUUCGGAAUUUCGAGAGGAAUCCACAAGCCCUUACUUGCCGGAUUUGGUGAAGGUUAGCUUGGUUGAAUCCCUUUUCUACUCCGUUGCUGUGAAAUUCGGACUGAAUUGGUGGAUUUUGAUCGUAGAGCUUGGAGUUAGCUCGAGUGCUAGACUUGGAGGGUUCCAGUUGAUCCAGCAGGGAUCACUUUGGUUCGAGGCUUCAUUCGCUGCCAGGAGCUAGCUUUUUGAGGUGGGUUACAUCGGUUUUGACUCCUAAGUUCUAAUCGUCGACAUGUAUGAUUUUGGUGUAGUCUAUUCUAGCUCGAAUUUAUGGAUUAUAUUGUAGAUUGCAAAUCUGAAUUUGGAGCAUGUGGUAAUAAGUUGAGUAGUUUAUACAUGUUGGACUUGGAAUUUGACUUAGAAGAAAACCUGCGAUUUGGACCUGUCACUUGUUUAAACUGCCUGAUUUAGCUCUAGGAGCCGUUAUAAAAUUGUACUGUCGCAGUAUUUUUGAUACGAGUACUCCAGAUAGUUUAGAAUGCAUUUACGCUCGUGUUGGUACGCCGAGUGGAUUUUUACAGGGUCAUUUGGCUGUUUCGGACUUUUGGGCGCCGUUGGAGUUGACGGUGGGCCCGGUUCGCCGUUUUGGCGUCAGAUUGUGCCGAUGGCACGUUACUUGUUUAUUGUUAGACCAGUUAGAGUCGGUUACUUAGACUUUGGCUUGACAGAGCCUGAUUGAGCUCGACAGAGAUACGCUGCAUACUCAGUUGGGUAGCGCUCACGAGUGCCACUCCGGAGACGGCUUCGUGCUUUCGCGUUGGUGUCGCUCAUGCCGGUUGGACUUGCUCUUCAUGGACCAGUUAGUAUGGAGGUAGCUGGAUAGUCGCAACUGGGCAGGGACGGGUGUAUUCACAAUCCCAGGGACGGGUAUGUUUACAGUCCCGAUUGGAUUGGGUCAGAUUUCACAUUUCCUACAGUUGGUUAGUGUAGAGCAUGACAGUGUAGUGAUUUGUAGCGGUUGAGUUUAUUUCCUGCAUUUUCCUACUAUCCUGGCUCCCCUCUGUAGACUUAGUGGGUGGACCGAUGUUGUUUGGCGGCACCCACUGAGGACUAUUUGUUUUUAUAGUAGUUCUCACGCCCAGUUGUUAUCCCUGUUUUGCAGAGCCACAGGUUUCGGCUGCUGCGCCUUCCGCGGAUCAGGAUUGAGGCAAGGGCGUCGCGAGUUAGAGCCCUACCCGACGUACUGAGCUAGAGGUGCCCCUACUGCAGGUAGAUGUUUUGUUUCGAGUUUAUGUAUAUAGUAGACUUAACUCGCCAGUAUGAGUAGCUCGGUAUUUUGGAUUUGGACUAUGUAUAUGAAACUCAGUUUGUUUAGCUUCUGUUUUCACUACAACAAAACUAUGUUUUAGCGGCGAUUAUUUUUUAAAUUAGCGGCAAUUACAAUUACCGCUAAAAUGUUUUGUGGCAAUUUUAACAAUUGCCGCUAUUGGCAGGGUCGCUAAAAGUUUUAGCGAUAUUUAUUCCGGCGGUUGGUAAAAAUCUAAAUAAAUGCCGCUAAAUAUUAUACAAUAACGACUAUUAUAAAUACCGCUAAAUAGUAUGCAAUAACAACUAUUAUAAAUGCCGCUAAAUAAUAUACAAUAACAACUAUUAUAAAUGCUGCUACAAUUAAUUAUAAUUGCCGCAAAAAACAUACUAAAUGAUUGAUUAAUAAAGCUUAUAGCGGCAAUUAAAUUAAUAUUAAAAUACUUGAUUAACAACUAAAUACUACAAUGAAUUGAAAUAUUAAAAAAUAUUAGUAACCAAAAAGCAUUAAUAAUUUGUAUAACAAAUAGUCUCAACUCUCAAAUUACAAUCUCAGUAUUCAAAUUAAAUUUCGAACAUAAGUUCUAACAAAAAAUACUUGUUCAAAAUGUAGCAAAAAAAUAACAAACACCGCAUGUCUUGCUUCCCACUUCAAUUUUCGCAGCUGCAGUUGAUCUGGAUCAACCAAAAAGAAGUCAUAAAAUUAGUAUCUGAAAUUACCAAAUAAAAAUCAUCAUAUCAAAUUUCUGAAAAACAUAAAAGUUAGGUUGCACUGUUCAUCAACAAAUAAGAAGACAAUAGUUAACAAUAUAUAAAUACCAUAAAGCAUAUCCGCACAAUAAUUAAUAAUGUAAAAGACCAAGUUCUGAUUGAUGAUUAAUCCUAUUUGUGCUUGGUUGAGGAAUAAAGAUUGUUCCGCUAUGGGGGAUAGUAAUAACUGAUCACAAAGUCAAUUUACUGGAGAUAUAACUUGAGGUUAUCUGAUACAAUCUACUGGAGAAUUAACAAUGUAAAAGAUUUCAAAAUUCUCUGUUAUCUCCUAAGCAACAAUUAGCAUGUAUAAUCGAAAAGAAUAGCAAGCCAUAAAAGAAUAGCGAGCCAUACCGUUGAUUGUGCUUCAGCUGACAACUCACACACAACUCAGAUUUCCUCCUGAAAAGAUUUCAAAUUAGAGAAAACAUAAAUAUAUAAAACGGGUGCUUCAGCUGACAACUCACACACAACUCAGAUUUCCUCCUGAAAAGAUUUCAAAUUAGAGAAAACAUAAAUAUAUAAAACGGGUGCUUCAGCUGACAACUCACACACAACUCAGAUUUCCUCCUGAAAAGAUUUCAAAUUAGAGAAAACAUAAAUAUAUAAAACGCUUGAACAUCAUAUGGAGCAAAAUUUCUUUCAUAUCAUGCUGAAAAAAUAACAUCCAUAAAACAUAAUGCAAAACUUGUGCAGCCCUCAACAAAACUAACAAAUUGACACCCAUAAUUUAAAUAAGUCCAAGUAAUUAGAAACCAAACACUUCAUAACCGAGUUAUAGCAAAACUCGGGCAGUGAUCAUCUUUGCCAAACAAUGUUGUAAGUAUGUGAGCAUUCUUCCACAACAUAAUUUUGAGUCAAGAUGGCUUGGUUAUCCCUUGAUCAACAGUAGGAAGAACCAAAGGAAAAAUUAAAAUUAAGUACUGGCUCUAAAAUAAAUUUAGAGCAAUAAUGCACAUUGUCUAUUUGCAAGUUAAGCCCUUUUUUUUCCUGAUCAAAGUACUAAUAUAUUAUUGUUUGGAUAGAAUUAUUUAACAAAAUUCUACAAAACUCAAAAGAAUAAGUUUCAAAAUAGAACUUCUACUUUCGCUAAUGAUCAUCUCGAACGGUAAAAAAACCAUGAAUUUUGCAGAUAUAUGGGGUGAAGAAAUUGUUACAGAAACAAAGCCAGAUAAGCACUAAUGCCGCAAAGUGUGUACAAGAGAUUCAUGGAAUUAAUUGAAAAUCUCCAAUGGUAAUAAAUGUGAUUUAGAACCUAAUAAGCCAUAUAUAUGUUUGCAAGAAUUCGAAAAUUCUGAAACAAUUUAAAACUCUAAUUUUAAUAGAAUAAGUACUACAAGAGGCUAUAAUUAAUGUAGCAACUCAUUAAAGAUUAAGAUUAUGAAAGGCUAUACAGCUACGCAGUAAUAGAAAAGCAAAAAAAGAAAACUAAGAUUCAAAGAGAACGUUGCGAUAAUGAGGGGGAAAAAAAAAAGAAAAAAAAAAAACUAGCAUCAGAUCAUCAUCAUUGUUAAGAAACUUUUAGUCUAAUAUAAAUAUUUGAAGGAAAAAGAUGCUGGAGGGGAAAUUGUGUUUGAAAUAACCAUGCUUUUUGGAAGGAGUUUUUUUUUUUUUCCUCUUGCGUUCGCAUCGACUCAUUUUCCGCUUUGUUGCUCUUGCUUCACCCUGAACUCCGCCACGGCAUUUUCAAACGUCGUCGUCACGUGCUGGCACAUCACCAUUAAGUCCUGUAAUCCAUCUUUCAGCACAUCCUUUGCUGGAUCACCCAUUGGUCCAACCAAGUAUUACAAACAAGAAGAGAGAAACAACGGCCAGAAUAAUUUUAAAAAAGACGAAGAAGAAGAAGAAGAAGAAGAAGAAGAAGAAGAAGAAGAAACUUUUCUAACUGCAAUUUGAUUCUUCUUUCAAUUUAAUUAGAGAAAAACAAUAAUAUUCUGUAAUCAACAACUGAAGCACAGAUUGGGUAUUCUAAGGAAAACUGGCAUAAACUGGGCUCAGCUACUUGAGAAUAGCUUUUCUCCGUGCAGUUAUAUAUGAAGUAGGAAAGCCAUCGAAAUAUUUUAUCCGUCUUCGAGUCUCUGCGUAUCAUCUUGAAAUUCAAUAAAAAAAUGCAUUAGUUAGUCCUUGCACUUUUAGUGAAUCGCAACUUCGUCACUAAUCCUUACUAGUCAUCAGAGAUUGUCGUCUCUUCUCCUAGCAGAGGCUAAAGAUUAGACAAAUUGAAUCACACUGCAAGAAAUUGACCGAGUUUAGAGCAAAAUUCUGCUUAAGUGAAAGAUCAAGGACCGAAUUGCCAUUUGAGAAAAGUUUAGGGACUACCAAUACAUUCUACCAAUGUUAAGAGUGCAAGACCUUCUAAAGCUAUUGUUCGGCAUAUUAUCCCCAAUGUAUGGUUACUCCUAAUAGAAAGAGGAUGGUGGGUUGCCGCAGAAGCAGAAGCUUCAAAUUGGAGGUCCUGCUUUUAGAUCCUAGAAGCUCAUUUUAGCUUCCAACACAGACAAAACUCUGCACUUCUUUUCCGCUAAAAACCUUGAUUGUAAAAGAUUUUGCCUUCUGGAGUAAAGAAGCUAGCUCUAGAAGGCAAGCCAAACAAGCACUCAAUAAUAAUCAAUUACAACAGAUCGAUAGGUAUACUAAAAGUAAAACGAGCGCGAGCAGAACAGUUAAACUAAUCCCUUCGAAGAGCAUAUGAAUAUAUCAUGCCGCUUAACAAAGAUGUUCAUCCGAAUGACAAUAAUAAUGAUACAUUCAGAUAGAAAGUAUGGGCACAGCGCAUACUAGUCAGAAUCAAAAACUGAAAUCUACAAAAUAGAGAGAAAAGAAGGUGCAUUUAUAACCUGUAGUCUGAACUCUGAUGUUAACUUUAUUAUCGGAAGGAUGAGGGAUGCUAUAUCCGCAAAAUGCCACCCUUGGACUGCAAAAUUUGACAAAAAGGUGAAAAGAAGAGAGACAAGAAAACAUAAGAUCAAGAGUUCGUUGAGUUUUCUAAAUGUUGGGAUAAGCAAACACUAAAACUAAAAUAGGCAUAGGGAAAAACAAUUCAGUGGCGGAUAAUCAAAAGAGGAAAUGCUUGAACAUAAGAUGUUGCUUGAAGCUUGAAAGUAUAAGGUAGUAGGUAAGUUAGCUGUGCUUCAUAUCCAUGGAUUUACUGAAACAUUUUUUUAUUUUCUCCCUAUUUUAUUUGACAUGCAUCAUUGGAGAGCAAGCAUAAUUAAGCAAACGAACUUACUCUUGAUUCAGAACAAAUCUAACAGAGUUUGCUAACGUGUGGUCUUCAUCCAAUAUAGAAAAAGCAUAAGAGAAAUGAUUUUAGGACACUUCAUAAUCAAAGCUACCUCAUAAAGCUUCAAACUUGUAGACACAGCAAAAUUGAUAUAAGAAAUGCAAAGAAGAGAUAUUUACUAAGAUGAAAAUUGUCAGCAAUAAGUAAAUAGAAAAGAUGGAAAUUUGGUGCAAGAAAUACCUUUUUUACUCCAAGAUAACAACUAAAGUGAAACAAAGUUGAAAAUUUGGUGAAGAAGGAUCAAUGAUUGAACCAUCUGAUGAGGCUUGUCACUUUCUUUCAGGAACCCAUGUAUUUCAUUUAUCAUCUGAAGCCAAUUUCUAUGCAAGACACUUUGGUUACGAAUAUGAGGUACUAGGGCUUGAAGAUCAAUUUGUAAUCCAAGUACUUAAUUGGGGAGAUUAUGUGAUAGAGGCUUAAAGAUGAAUUUAUACAUGCAAGCAUCAACUAACUAACCUAAUAAAGGCUUUAAGGGCAUCAGAAGUUGAAAACAAAGUAAAAGCAUAUAGACCUCACCCCAAUUACAGCGCACUUUGGAAUGAGCACCUUAAUUUAAAAGUUGGAUUUUAUUACAAAGCCUUAGAGUAGGACUUGUUUAAGAUUCUAUCUUAUUCAAGGCCUCUUAGUCAGAAUUUGACAGUAUUUUUACCUUUUCUAAUGGAAGAUUCUUUAACCUACAAGAAUAUUCCGUUACUUGACAGAAUAUUCUGUUACUUUUUGACAGAAACUGUCAAGUUCUAACUUUGCUCGACCAAAUUUUCUGAAAUCAUUAGUGGAGUUUUAUGUAGUAAAAUUAAUACUUCUAAGCCGACCGUCUCUAGUGCAAGUGGCAAAGGGCUUGGUAGUUGGUACCCAAGGUCGCAAGUUUGAAUCCGAAUUGAUUCACAUUUCCAGCUAAGUUUAUUUCUAAAAAAAUAAACUAAGUGGGUAGCAUGCUACCUUUCUGUCUCAAAAAAAAAAAAUAAUAAUACUUCUAAAGUUUAGGCACCUAUUCAAAAUAUGCUGAAGUUCAGGUCAAGUUUGUACAUUUUGACUCAAAAAUAAAAAGUUCGUGGAUGUUGAAACAACUUGAAAACAUAGAAAACAAAUAUUGAUAGAAAACCUUUUGUAUGGACAAUCAAAAUAUAUGUGAAAUAAAGAUUAUGGACAAGAUUCUGGAGUUCCUUCUUUUACUUUUAUUGCCCCAGGAUAGAAGUUUUGAGAUGAUUAAUAAAAGUGUUGCCGGAAAUUUGUAAUACCUUAGCAGAAUAGAGAAUCACAUCCUCCUUGCUCAAUUUGAGACAAUGGCUGCCCCCAUAUGAGGCAAGAUUUAGAGCUGCACGUGGUUCUGCCUAACACAACAUUGAGCACACUAAAAUGCUACAAAACUUCUUAAGAGGAACUAGCAGGUAAAUAAAAUGAAAAGUUCUUGCACAACAGUAGAAUGUCUUACUUGUGAGCCAGUUGUAACAAUCAACAGAUCUUUCGGGGCAUAGGCAUCAAUAUCCUCUACUUUCACCUGCAAUAAUAAUUGAUCUUGGCAUAAUUAGUCAGCCGGAAUAAAAAAUUAGGGUAGGGUUUCACUAAAUAAGGAGCAAACUUUUCUGUCUCUGAUGUGUAAACCUAAAACUCUUUUAGAGUUUGCAAUUUUUCAUAGUGAAAAGACAUGGCACUGAAAAAACAUCUUAUACACAUCCCACUCUGUUUCAUGAAAAUAGCCAUUCUUCUCGGUAAAUGAUAAUAAAGAACAAGAUGGUAAGCUUGAAUUAGUAUGGAAAGCAAAAUUAUUGGCAGGUAAUGCAAGUUAUUUAGAUACGGAGCUAAUGAAUAUUUGAAGGAAGCAUAGGCACAUGCGCAUAUCAAAAAAAAUAAUAAUCAUCAUAAGUUGCCUCCUUCACCAAAUCCAUAGUCCUAAUUUACCUCAUAGAGUUUUAAGCUGCCUUAACAUUUGUCAUUUAAGAGGUAUCUAUAUGAUUACAAAAUUAACACAGCUCUUUCAUAUGACCAUGCAAUUAGUUGGGUGUGUUUCAUGGGAAUAAUUUGAGGCCUAGAAUAGAAAUACGAAUAAAUUAUUCCCAUUUUGAUUCCAAUUGCUGGCUACCGCCUUGCUGCCAUCGUUGCCUCUGCCACCACCACCAAUGCCGUUGUCCUGCUACUGGCUGUCAUCAUCAUUAUAAUCACGACUGCCAUCCCAAGGGCCAUAACAACCACAAUUGUUAUAACUAUCGCUGCCGCCACCACCAAUAUCUUGCCAUCACUACAAUUACCAUCCUCACCGCUAUUACCACCAUUCUCACUUGUAGCACCAUACCUUAGCAAACCAAAGAUGGACAUCAUUCAGGUCAGGCCCGUUCUCAACUAGUGUAAUUUUGCGGGCUAGGUCCGCAAUAUUCAAUACAUAUUCCAAAUCUGAGCCUGCUCCAAAUUGACCGGCUUGCAUAAGAAACCGGCUUGGGCCAAGUAAACAGAAGAAAGAAAAACUUGAGACUGACCCAGAUUUUCUCUGGCUUCAAAAUUUGAGGCCAUAUCAGGACUGAUGAAGCAAGCCAGCCUCAACCCAACUUGCAAACAAUUGUGAUGGUCUAACUCAAGGUUUAAAGUGCCGUGACACGGGGGCGUGCCGUUAUGUCCCUGGCACGGUACGGCACAGACACGCUUGUGUGCUGAUAGAUACGCAUGACCUCCUACUGGCAUGCUUUGGCACGGACUUAUUUUAGUUUUUUGGUUUCACUUUCAAUAACAUCAACAAAUUCAGACAGUAAGCCUUUUAGAAGCAAACUUGGACACAUUACAAACUGAUCAAAUAUUUCAACAUCAUCACAUAUAAUUAAUUAAUAUUUACUUUUUUUUUUACUUCAGAUUAGCAAUAUCAGAAAUCUAAUACUUUGAAAACACCAAGACAUUCAAUUCAGUUAAAACAUGAAAUUCGACUAAAACACCAACAUACUAGAAUGCUUACAUCUAAGGAGAAAUAAAAUAGUAAAUGGACAAAGCCAUUCAAGUCCGCUUAUAAUCUAAACGUGAUGGCUAUUUACUGAAAACAGUAGAUAUAAUAUGAUUCAAUCCCUGUUUACGUAAAAUCCCACUCACAUUUAGUUUUUGACCAGAGUCAGAGCUGUACUGCUGCUACAUAUGCCUCAUAAUAUUACUUUAUAUCUUACUAAUAUAUUAGUAAAUUUAUUUAACACUUUAAAUUACUUACGUGUAUAAUUCUAUUACAAACGGACCCUCAAUCAAUUAAUAGAGAACGAUUACACUGAAAAGUUUGACACUAUAAGGGAUCACAAAGACAUAUCAUUACAGUAGUAGAGCAAUUUACCAUGACAUUAGAUUAUUCACACAAAAUUUCUCAUUAAGAGCAGAUGAAAAGCUUCAAUAGCAUCAGACAAAUACAAACACACUAUAUGCAGUGUGUGUACAGAACAAAUAUAAGUUGCAAAUUCUCUGUUAUGCGCAAUCAAGUAUUGUUCUAAGAAUGCAGUAUGAAAUGGAACACGAAAACUUCGAACAAAUUCACUAGAACUGAAUUCGAUCUACUGAUACUUGGCAUUCUCAUUCUACAUCUUCACCACGAUAAUCACUACUACAUAUAUAUGAAUGCAAAGGAAGUAAAUAGAGAUAUAUGUAUGUAUAUAUGUAUGUACACUCUGCUUUGAAUCCUCAAGAUAGGGUGAUGAAGUGUUGCAGUGAACUGACCAAGCUUGGAGGCCAAUGCUUAGUCUCUUUAACAUACGACAGAUCGAUGUAGUGCGGAUCCAAUACAGUGGCUAUUAGGGCAAUAACCAGAACGAUUGCGGGAGAAACCAAACUACAAACGAAUUGAAGAGCUCAUCGUUUUAGAUACGGAUUUCGNUCUUUCUUUCUCUCUCUCUCUCUCUAUAUAUAUAUAUAUAGUAAAACAAAAAUAUUUUUGAUAGUAAAAAAAAUAGUGUUUGCUAUUAUUUUUUUUUUCCCAUUGAAUGUGUAGGAUGUAAACAUCUUUCAAAUUUUUUCUUUGUACACUCAAUCAUAUUUUUUAUAUUUAUUAUUUAUUUUAUUAUAUUUAUAUAAUUAAAAUAUGAUUAUUUAUUAUAUUAUUUUUAAAAUAUAUUCUAUCGCAUUGGUACUUUUAAUAACGAAAGAUUCGACUACAGAAAAUAAAAGAUCGAAAACCGAAUUUCUUUUUUCAAAAAGAAAUGCAUUGGGCCCUUUAUUGUGUGUUCCUCACUAUAUUGUGGAUGUGUUAGACAACAAAAUAAAUUUUUACGUGAAACUGAAUAGAAAUUAAAGAAUAAAAACCAAAAUAGUUUACUUUAAAUUAUAGAAAAAUUACUAUAUCAUAUGGAAGCUUUUGAAAAUUUACUUUUAAAACGUGAAGAUGAUUAUAAAAAUGUUGCCUUUCUUUUUAUAAGUCAGGACAAAUUUGUUGACCACAGUAGUAGUCGAAGCAAUGUUGAUGACUAAUUUGAAGAAUAAAAAAAAAAAAAAAAGCUUUUACUUGGCUCUAUAUCGUGACACAACAACAUCAUGCUCCACUUUAUAACUAAAUAUUAAGCUUAAUUACACUCUGAUACCUUAAACCUUUUCUUUCGCAAAUUUUAAUUUAUUAUAAUUUUUAAUUCGAAUUUAAAAAAUUAUAAUCAAAUUUACAAUUUAAUUUAGAUGACUGAAUAUUAAUAUGUCGUUAAUGUAGAAGUAAUGUGGCACGUUAACAUUUAAUCAGCGAAGUUUGGUUUGUGGACUUGAUUAUAAUAAAAUAAAAACUCGAGUGAGAAAUUAUAAUAAAUUAAAGUAUGAAAAUUGAGUGUGACACGCCUUUUGUAACUUAGCUAAAUAUUAAUAUUAAAAGCUUAAAAAGUUUUUUUAAAAAAAUUUAAGUAAUUAAAGAGACCAGCACAACUUCUAGAGGAGUGAGUCAGCUAAUCGAAAAUUCUAAAUGGGUAUAGUUGGAAGCUAAGAUGAGUGGGAAAAACUAUGCAAGAUUAUAUAAUUAGUUAAUUACAAAGUUAAAAUAAUAAUAAUAAAAAUGGUAGAUUUGGUAAUUAAAUUCGUGCUGAUAAGUUAAUACGCAGAUUAUCUGAGCGAAGAAAGAGAGUGUUAGACGUAAUUAAAAAUUAUUCUAUGGUUACGUAUUUGGGUCAAAUAAUCAAAUGUAAAUAAACUAAUAUAAUGACAUUAAUAUAUAAUGGGUAAAACAUACCGACAAAAUAUAUAUAUAGAUUAUUUCGCAUGAUUAUUUUUACUUAAAUUAAUAUUUGAUUGUACAUAAUUAGGGGCCGUUUGGCUAGAUGCAGUUGCAGAAAUAGUAUAAUUGAAAGUACAUGCAGUUAUAAAUACUGCAGUCGUAACUACACCAGGCUGUUUGGUUUUAUACAGUUGCAAUGGCUGCCGUUAUAUUUUUGGUAGACUUCAGUUGAGAUUUGUAUUUGUAAAUCCUGUCACUUUUAGAUAGAAAGGUAAAAUUAUCUCUUUUGAAUAUAAUAUAAUCAUGAGAUCCUUUAAUUAUUAAUUAAGACUUUUAUAUCUAUAUAUAAUUUACAUAUUAUAAAAUUAUGUAUGAAUUUAAUAAAUUUUAAAUAGAAAUAUAUUAUAAAUUUGAUUAAAAUAAAAAUUAAGAUAUUAUUGAAUGAGUAUAUUGGGAAAAAUAGAAGCGUAUGAAAAAAAUUUAUUGGACCACAACAGGCAUUAUUGAACCUUAGCAACUUUCGUGAAUAGGCAUUCUUGGGGAAAAAAAAGUAAAAAAAAAAAGCCUAUGAAAAAAAAAAUCACACUAUUUUCUCUUAAUAGGUGAGCUGAUUUCGGCAACUGCAGCCGUUGGGCUUUUUCAUGCAGAUACAACUACAGCAGUUGAGCCUAAUUAUAUUAAAUUAAAUAAAAAUUUAAUAGAUGUAUACAUUUUCAACUGCGCUGCAGGUGAAAAUGCAUGCAGCCAAACAACUCCUUAUUACUGCAUAAAAAUUCCUGCUAUAUACAAAUUUAAAAAUAGAAUUUGAGUUCAAGUGUUACAGUUGGAACUGUAUAUAUAGCAUUGAUAGUAAUAACAAUUAAUCAAAUUAUCUUACCUGCUACUCUCUUUCUUGGAUUCAAGAAAUGUAGAACCUUAAACCCAGGAGCUGCAAAAAAGAGAGAGAGAGAGAGAGAGAGAGAGAGAGUGAUAAGUUGAGAAGAGAGAGAAAAUGUUAAGGGAAAGUUAGAGGAGAAGGUGUAGAGUUAGAGGGGGUAUUUAUAGUGGCGGAGCAUAACGGAAUCUGUAUACGGAAUAUUACUGCGCCGUCAUUUUCGUCGGGGUCCACCGGUCAACGCUGUUUGACGGCGUUAGCAUGUAACGUACUACCCGGGCACACGACGCGCCACCUCAAACGCGCGCAGUUGUUCCGUUCCCACGAGCAUAUUUGUUUCAAACCAAAUUAUCAAACUAAACAAAUUUAUAUUUUAUACCGAACCAUCCCUAUUGCAAAUAGCAAAAGAUUUAAUAGUUGAUACCCGAAAUUUUAAAUUUGAAUAUUAAUUGAUUCAUAUUUUUAACUAAGUUUAUUUUUAAAUAAAGUAAACGAAACGGGUAGCGUGCUACCUAUCUCUCAAAAUUUUUUUUAAUAUAUUUAAAAAGUAUGAGUUAGAUCCUAUAUUUUCAAAAGUACGGCGAACUCCGUACUUGUAAGUUAUUUUUGAUGAUGCGACGUUCGAUUCGGAGAUCGAUUCAACUAGACAUGAUUUACACUAUUAAAACUAUCUAGAAAUCAAAUUUUAUAAUUAUUUUACUUUAUUUGGCUAGUAAAUGAGUAGCUUUAGAAUGAACGACUGAAAAUAAAAAUUUCAUAAAAGACUGAAAUUUUAAAUCAGAAAUAUUAAUUCCGCUAUUGAUGUUAAGUAAAAUUUUUUAUUAAAGUUUCAUAUAAUUUUGAUUGUUCUACGCCGUUGAACUUAAAAAUGUACCAUAUUGACUGUUAAAAUAGUUAUUUUUGAGAUCUUUUUGAUCACUUAGUAAACUAUAUCAAAAAAUUAUGAAAUUUGGUUGAUAGAUAAUUCCAAUAGCGUAGAUUAUGCCUAACGGAGCUAAUCGUCAAAUCAAAUAUUUUAUCAUCGAAAACAACUUACAAAUAUGGAGACCUCCCUACUUUCAAAAACACAAGAGACAUACUCUAACAAGUAUUAUUAUAAUUAUAAAAAAUUAGUUUUUAAAAAAAUUAUUAUAAAUUAUGCGAUGAAUAAUUCACCGCUUAAAUUUAAUUUUAUAAUCAGCUCGUACUCGACG
rnacentral:lncRNA from 1 species